ACAUGCUUACCAUUAAUCCUAAUGCUUCUGAUUAUUGUUACGACUAUACAAACCAAAGGAUGCAGUCAUCAUAUCCAACAACUCUUUCCUGGAACAAGAGCACAGAUUGUUGCUCAUGGGAUGGAGUUCAUUGUGACGAGACGACAGGACAAGUUAUUGAGCUUGAUCUCGGUUGCAGCCAACUUCAAGGCAAGUUUCAUUCCAACAGUAGCCUCUUUCAACUCUUCAAUCUAAAAAUGCUUAAUUUGUCUUAUAAUGAUUUCACUGGAUCACUCAUUUCACCUAAAUUUGGUGAGUUUUCAAGUUUAACGCAUCUUGAUUUGUCGGAUUCUAAUUUUUUGGGUCUAAUCCCUUCUGAAAUCUCUCACCUUUUUAAACUACAAGUUCUUCGAUUCAGUGGUCUAAAUGAGCUUAGACUUGGGCCUCACAACUUUGAACUGCUCCUUAAGAACUUGACCCAAUUAAGAGAGCUCAACCUUGACUCUGUGAACAUCUCUUCCACUAUUCCUUCAAAUUUCUCUUCUCAUUUAACAACUCUACAACUUUCAGACACACAGUUACGUGGGCUAUUGCCUGUAAGAGUUUUCCACCUUUCCGAUUUAGAAUUUCUUGAUUUGUCAUCCAAUCUCCAGCUCACUGUUAGGUUACCCACAACCAAAUGGAAUAGCAGUGCAUCACUCAUGAAGUUAUAUCUCGGUUAUGUGAAUUUUACUGGUAGGAUACCUGAAUCAUUUCGCCAUCUAACUGCACUACAUGAGUUGGACAUGAGUUCUUCUAAUCUGUCAGGGCCCAUUCUUAAACCUCUAUGGAAUCUCACCAACAUAGAGAGUUUGUUCCUUGAUGAUAACCAUCUUGAAGUACCAAUUUCCCAGUUCUCGAUAUUUGAAAAGCUCAAGUACUUAUCACUUCGAAAUAACAGCUUUGAUGGACGACUUGAGUUCUUAUCCUUUAACAGAAGUUGGACCCAACUAAUUGAAAUGCUAGAUUUUUCAUCCAAUUCCCUAACUGGUCCAAUUCCAUCCAACGUAAGUGGACUACAAAACCUAAAACAGCUCUACUUGUCGUCAAACCACUUGAAUGGGACUAUACCUUCCUGGAUAUUCUCCCUUCCUUCACUGAUAGUGUUAGACUUGAGCAAUAACACUUUCAGUGGAAAAAUUCAGGAGUUCAAGUCCAAAACAUUAUAUGCUGUUGCUCUAAAAGAAAAUAAGCUGGAAGGUCCUAUUCCAAAGUCACUCCUAAACCAGCAGAGCCUACGAUUUCUUCUCCUUUCACACAAUAAUAUCAGUGGACAUAUUUCUUCAGCUAUCUGCAAUCUGAAAACAUUGUUUCUACUAUAUUUGAAAAGUAAUAAUUUGGAGGAAACAAUCCCACAAUGUUUGGGUGAGAUGAGUACAGUUUGGAUUUUGGAUUUAAGCAACAAUGGUCUUAGUGGGACAAUUAAUACAACUUUUAGUAUUAGAAACCAAUUCAAGAUCAUUAAAUUGGAUGGCAAUAAGCUACAGGGGAAAGUUCCACCAUCUUUGAUCAAUUGUGAAAAUUUGGAAUUUCUAGAUUUAAGUAACAAUGAGUUGAAUGACACGUUUCCAAAAUGGUUGGGAGACCUACCUCAUUUACAGGUCUUAAAUUUGAGAUCAAAUAAGUUCUAUGGCCCUAUAAGGACUGACCACUUGUUUGCUCAAAUUCGAGUCAUAGAUCUCUCAUCCAACGGAUUUAGUGGAGAGUUACCAUUGAGCUUGUUUCAGAAUUUUCAAGCCAUGAAAAAAAAUGGUGAGAACAGUGGAACCCGAAAGUAUGUAGCAGAUAUAUAUUCUAAUUAUUACAAAAAUUCUUUGAUAGUGACAACAAAGGGACUGGAUUAUGAACUUCCUCAAGUUUUGACUACACAAAUAAUUAUCGAUCUCUCAAUGAAUAGAUUUGAAGGUCGUAUUCCAAACAUUAUUGGAGAUCUUGUUGGACUUCGUACGUUGAACUUAUCUCAUAAUGUCUUGGAAGGUCACAUACCAGAAUCACUGAAACAUUUAUCUGUACUCGAAUCAUUGGAUCUCUCAUCUAACAAAAUCAGCGGAGAAAUUCCGCAACAACUUGUGUCCCUCACGUCACUUGAAGUCUUAAAUCUCUCUCACAAUCAUCUUGUUGGAUGCAUCCCCAAAGGAAAACAAUUUGAUACGUUUGAGAAUAGUUCAUACCAAGGGAAUGAUGGGUUACGUGGAUUGCCACUCUCAUAACAUUGUAGCAGUGAUGAUCAAGCGACAACUCCAGCUGAGCUAGAUCUAGAAGAAGAAGAAGAAGAAGAUGAAGAUUCACCAAUGAUCAGUUGGCAAGCGGUUCUCAUGGGUUACGGUUGUGGUCUAGUUAUUGGACUGUCCAUAAUAUACAUAAUGUUGUCAACUCAAUAUCCAACAUGGUUUUUGAGGUUGGUUGUGCAAUUGGAACACAGAAUUACUACGAGAAUGAAAAGGCACAAGAAAAGAUAUUAGUGUGAAGUGUUUGUUAUCCUAUGAAUAAACACAUGACUUUUCUUCCUUUGAGACUCAAAUCAGAGUUUGCUUUCAUUUGUCUAUGGCAUGUAGAUAUGUGCCAUCACUAAAAACAUAGUAUUUCACUCAACUCUUUCACAUAACAUCAUAACACAAACAUAGAACACUCGACUUUAAGUUCGGAAACAUAAAAAUCUGUAUUUACAGAGUUUGAAAAUAUUUCUUUUCAGACUCAUGAUGGUCCUGUUAAGAAAUCACCACCAACUUAAUUAAUCUCCAAGACAUUUCAAAGAAGAAUCUAGAAUAUUCAAGAGUUAUAAAGAAAUAAAGGAAGAGCUCUAGAAUGAGUAUUCUAGAGAGAAAAGUCUAGAGUUGUCCUAGAUAAGAUAGUUCUAGAAAUAGGAAGUUAGAAGAACAUUCUAGAAUGUAGUAGCAAAACCCUUAGCUAGAUUCUUCCAUCACCACCUAUAAAUAGAGGUGGUCCAUUUGAGUUGUAAGCAAUCAAGAAAGAAAGCAAGAAACAAAGUAAGAAAGCAAGAAAGAAAGUAAGAGAGAAAACAAGAGUGAGUGCUAAGUUAAGAGUGUUGCUGAAGCAAGCAACAAGUGUGAUCAAGAUUGUAAGACCGAAGCGGGUCCUUGCUUUGAUAUAAUAAAAUUCAAGUUGUGAGAAAUUGAUUGUGUCCGUCGUCUCCAAACCAAUAAUAUUCAACAGGUCCUUCAUCAAAAGAUAAUAAACAUUAGGAAAAAUAUUCGCAUUAUUCUCUACUGCCUGAGCCUUACAUAGACAACAUCAUGUGUUUUCAACUGGAAUCUACAUUCUUUGAAGAGCUGAAGAAAGAACCUUCAACUCUUCCCAUCUAAGUCUCGGAUGACAGAGUUACCCGAUAUCUCUAUUGGUGGAAGGUAGAUGGUACCAGUUGAAUUAAUUGAAUAGAACACAAGUUGACCCAAGCAUCACUGUUACACAACAACAAACUACGCCUCAGCCCUAAAAAAUAACUUGCAUAGAGACCUGCAAUAAUGUUCAAACCCCAAAAUAAGAUUAGACAUAAACACAUAACUGAGUGAUAGAAUUUCUAGUGAUCGAAAUCCAUAAGGAUUUCAAACUUCAUUUAGGAAGAAAUCAAGCAGAAGCGCUUGACUAUAGGUGAGCUUUAUCGUGAUCAACUAUUGUUCAGAUUAAUUAAUUAGCAAGCUGCUGCAUAAUUUCAAUGUUUCGGGGCAAAGAAAAAGAUUCAUAAAACAAAAGUAGAAAACAAUAGGAAAUACCUCGCCAAACAAAAGGAUAUCACUACAGCUUUCUUUAAGCAGUGCUUUAAUCUCUCUGCAAAAUCCAUAUGCAGCAUCCUUUUAACUGAUUUUGAUGAGUCGAGAUUUCACAAAAAUGUAUCUAUCAAGCUAUGACUUAGCUGAUGCUGCAGUUAACAUCUCCACUAAAUAAAACUGUGGGCUGAAACCUUGUGUAUUCCAGCAUCUAACAUUGCUUUUCUCAAGGCAGCAGCAUAAUCCCACCUCUCUGCGCCAGCACAAAUGAUUCGGUUGCGACUCAAGCAGUAGUUGUGAUACUUUAUUGUCACGCCUCGAGCCUACACACCCUGGGCGGGACUGGCACUCGAAGACCAUUGCUGGCCCCAAGCAAACCCUUGGUUUGGCUUACUUAACUCAGUGGAAGACAAUAUUCAUACUUAUAAUGAUCAAUAACACUUAACUGAACUGAAUAAUAAGAUAACUAAGAAUAUUAAAAGUUAAACAUUCAACUUGGCCAAAAGUGGCAUCCAAGUCUUAACAAUAAGAAAUGAUACUGAAAAGACUCAAAGGACUAACAUCUAACUGUCUAUGAUGCCUCUAAAACAACCGAGAUGGAUGUUGGGAUAGACCCCACAAUAUCCUAAUGCACUAAACUAGAAAACAAUGAAAAUAGAUCCUUCGGAAUGCAAGGAGGCUCACUGGCUGACUGUGAACUGCUCACUGGAUCAACGGUGCGCUGAAAUGCCGAUCUUAGUUACCUAUGUCUACAUCAUAAGACGAUGCAGGCCAACUGGCAUCAGUACAUUGAAUGUGAGUAUGCGAAUUGGAAUGCUAAAACAACAUAGGCUAGAAAGAAUCUGAGAGAAAUUGAAGAACUUACCUGGCUCAACUCAACUCAACCUAACUGAACUCAUUUCAAGAUAAAGCAGUUUAAAAGCAAGUGCAAUAUAAAGAAAAGAUGUUUAAAAACAUGAUAUCAACUUUGUGUAUGCAAAGAUACAAAUAACUCUGAGAUGUAUGUAAAAAUACAAAUAAACUGAUGUGUAUAAAAAUACAAUACUUCUGUGGGAGUUUUUCUAAACGACAAUCAUCACAUAAAAGUUAUUGUGAUGAUACAACGAUCUACCUCACGCUGUCAGCGCAUCCUAUACCCGCCCAAAGGUAUAGGACCUGAAUUGCCUAAUGGAUCCACUAGUCCAUUGCGAAAAUGAUUCAUCUAAAAAGUAUGACCCUUUUCUACCCAUGGUAGCUACAUUGUUUUAUGGUGACGUGAGUUAUUUGAACUCAUGCUCGUCCCCAAUUCGUUGCUCAAUACUACUCCCAAAAUAUACGGGCUCUUAUGUUUUAAAAACAUACUUCUUCUGUGGUUUGAAAUUAGUGCUCAAAAACUUAGCUCAACGGCUAUCUUGGAAAUCUCAGUUUCCCUUCUUGCUUCAUUUAGAAAGCUAUAACUUUUUCUGAAAACUUGCCCGAAGGCUCUUUGGAAAUCUCUUGUUUAAAUGUGCAAACAUUUAAAACCCUUUUGGGAAUACAUAGUCCCCAUAUACUUUUGAAGAAAUGAACUUCAAACUUUACUCUUUACUCUUUACUCAACUUGAACUUUAAGUCUUAAAACAAAGUUAAAACAUUUGGAAAAGACUUUUGGAAUACUCCAAGAACUUAUCUUGACUUGACUCUUAUUUCUCUUCACUUUGAUCUUAACUUUCCUUGAAUUGGAGUAUGGAUUCAAGGUUCAUGAUCUCAUGUUUAUGGAUGAUUUCAUGAUGUUUAGAUGUACCUUAGAGUGUUGGAAUCAACUAGAAAACGUAGGUACAUCACUAAGGAACAUGUACUAAAAGGUGGGGAACGAAUGGGGAGAACUGGCGUCCCUAGCACUUUGUGAGGCGCGGGGCGCCAGCCCUUAAAGUUUAGAGAACUUUCUGUGGCGCUCUGGCUGGCGCGACGCGCCAGAGGCCAAAGUUCAGAGGAACUUUUGUGGCGCUCUGGCAGGAGCGGUGCCCCAAGCCCUUGCCCAGAAAACUCCGAUUUUUCUCCUUCAUUUUUCAUCUCUAAACCCUCUAAAGUUCAAUGGUUCUUUUCCCAAACACUUAGAAUCAUUAGCACCCUCAAUAUACAAUAGAUUCAACACGAAAUUUCACCAGGAAACAUGAAUCAAAUCAUCAAGAAACUUCAACAACACAACCCUCAAGAAUUCAACGAAACUUUCAGCAAUGUUCAUCAAGAACUCAAUUUCUAAUCAUUCAAAGACUUAAAUUCGCUGAAUUGAAUCAUGUUUGGCGUGUGGGUGAACUAACCCAACGCUAUGUGAUCUCACAUACCUUGUAGGGAUCACCCCCGACGAAUUCCAGAAGUUAAAUUUUGACAAUCUUGGCGAUUCUUGAUUUCUCUUCUCUCAAAACCUUAACUCUUUUGGUAAAAGUGUAAACUGAUCUAAUUCAGCUUAGACCCUUAAGUAAUUACCAAAAACGAAUUAAAAUAAAAGGGUAAGGAAAAGACCAAACUACCCUUUCAAAAUUCGGAUUGGACAUUUCCUUAAUCCAACAGCCCAACUUCCAAGGGUAUAUCUUACUCAUACGAACUCAGAAUCGCAUAAACUUGGCGGCGUUGGAAAGAUAAUUCCAAGAUAUUUCCAAACAUAUCUGGAAUUUCACCUAACUCAUCUUGAGCUAGGAGUUAUGGUCAUUUGAAGUUGACCAAAAACUCAACUUUAACUUGCUUACAAUUUUCCAGAUUUCCUUAUACUUUCCAAAAAUAACUAUUUCCAGAUUUUAAACUUCUUUCUAGUUCUCUCUAGUUGCGAGAUGUUACAUUCAUUUCCCAAUUCAAUAGCUCCAUGAAGUCUACAAGCACCCAUCAGAGCCCCCAAGACAGUGGCAUCAGCUUCAAAAGGCAUCUUCUUUAUGAAGUCGUACGCUUCCUGUAGUAGCCCAGCUCUCCCUAAGAGAUCAACCACACAACGGAAAUCAACAAGAUAAUGUUCCAUCUUAGCUACAAGUCAAAAUUCAUGAGACAUUGCUUCAAACAAUACAAAACUGAAAUCGACAAGCUUGGAAUACUCGCAAGCUGAUAGAACAGACACAAAGGUAAUCUCAUUUGGUUGCAGCCCCUUUGCCCUCAUCUUCUCAUACAUCAUUAAUGCGUGCUUCUCUCUUCCAUUCAAAGCUAGGGAAGAAAUCAUAACAUGACUAUUGAAACUUUUACCAUUGAGCUAACUUCUAAGAAAAGGGUUGUAGAUUAUUUCUGAUACAUUAAGUUCUAUUCAACCUCCUUUAUGAUGCAAAUAACAUAAAUGAAAGGCAAUGAAACAGUGCUAAAUUACGAAGGAGAUUUGAUAUAUAGCUUAGAGAAGAUUUGGGCCUCUUGAAGUGUAACAGCCCAAAGCACAAAACACUCAAGGCCCAAUCUGUUCAUUGACCCAAACCAGCAAAACAAAAGAAAAUAAAAAUCAGACACAAAAGUUGAGUCUUUAGAUCAUUCAAUCAGACGAUAUGUGCACUCACUAAAAACAUUGUGUUUCACUCAACUCUUUUACAUAACACAAACAUAGAACACUCGACUUUAAGUUCAGGAACUUAAAAAUCUGUAGUUACAGAGUUUGAAGAUAUUUUUCUGCAGACUCAUGAUUGUCUAUAUUAAGGUAUCAGACAAAAUGCAUGUGUUUUCACAAUUGGCCGUGUUAUCAAAUAACUACAUGAACUCUAAGUACUAAUACAUAGAAAUUUUCUUCUCUUUUUUAGUUUUGUAAUAGAAAGGCAAAGUUGUGUGCGGGCAGGGUUGUUGAGGGAACCAAAACCUGUUGUGUGGGGGCAGGAUUGUUAAUGACUAAAAAUAUGUUGGAUUAAUGAAGGAAAAUAGAGGACCAAAAACAGCUACAAUGCCAUAAGUUCUGACCGUGUUCAAAUUUUAAAAGAUUGUAAAUGAUAUUAUCAGCAUUUGAUAUAACAUAAUUAAGGCAACCAAAAACAUUGUGAGUGUCUACAAAUUCUGAAGAGGCUGUAAAUUUUUUUUUAUUAACAUUUAGCUUAACUAUAAAUAAGGCAACAAAGUAUGGAUUUCUUUUUAAAAAUUUGAAGAGGCUGCAAAAGAUAUUACUAGUAUUUACCAUAACAUAAAUAAGGGAACAUCUAUUAUUGUCUAUAAAUAAGGUACUUAUUAGCAUUGCUGUAAUAUGUUCUAAUUAUUAGUACAUGUUAAACUUCUUAUUUACUCAUACCUUUAGUAAAUGAUUAAUGUCUUUAAGUCUCCAAAUACAAGCUUUAUUUUCAUAGUUUCUGUUGUUUCAUCUUAGAUUUUUAUUACUGCCUGUUGUUUCUUUAGCCUCAAUUACUGUAUUAUCUUGUCGUUUUUUCUGCUUAUAUUACUGCAUUCUUUUCAUUUUUCUUUGGGCCGAGAAUCUAUCGAAAAUAACCUCUCUACCUUCAAGGUAGUGGUAAGGUUUGCAUACAGACUAUCCUCCCAAGACGGUCAGGCCCCACUGGUGGUAAUCAAUUACACUGAGUUUGUUUGUUAGCCUAUGAAGAACCUGCCAUGUCUUGACUCCUUCACUGUCUUCCAUCACUUGUUUCUGUCAAGUUGUGGUGUGUGUGAAGAGAGCAAAACAAAGAUAUUUUUUCGUGACAUUCAAACAAAAUGUAUGUGUUAUUACAAGUGGUGGGACUUUGUGUUACGUUGUUUCUUUCAUUUGAAUCUUUCUAUGCUAUCUUAUUUAUCGUCCCUUCCAUCACUUGUAAACAUACAUAUACGUAGUAAUUUUCAUUUGAAGAGUACGUUUGUGGAACUUUUUAGUUGUGUAAAUUUUCUUUCAAGAUAAGUAAAAGAAGUCUAUAUAUAUCUGAAUUUACUAUGAAAAUUUUAAAAAGUAACCUUCAUUUUUUAAUUUUCUCUGGAACGAAAAUGGACUAAUGGACCUAAGAUCAUGCUGAAAGACAGAGUUGAUGGACAACAGGUGAAUAUCAUAACUUUUACUAUUUUAAUAAAAUUGAGCUUGAUAUUUUCAUUGGAACAAACUCUCAUUCUUUUGUUAAAAGUUGAAUUUGGUAACAAACACAAGGCCAAAUACUUAAACAUGUGUAUCUUGAGACGUAGAGAAAGCGAAUUUUUGACAAAAGUAAGCCAUUAUUUAAAUCAAUUCACCAAAGUAAUAUGUUUUUUUGAAAAUUUACAGAACUAGUAUGUAUAAACGUAUUCCUGAGUAACGUUUUAGGCUAUAUUUUAUUUUAAAAAAUUUAGACGUGUAAAAUAUAUGGACUGACGGCGUUAAAUAAAGAAACGUUACUAGGGGUAACGUUUUAAGCAUAAUAUGUUAUUGUCAAAUACGUUUUAUAAUUUGUUACUCGAAGGCACGUUUUAUAGCUAAAACGUUACUCACAGUAACUGUUUCUUUAAAAUCCAUUUACACACACGGGUCUUUUAGUUUGCUUAGUACAUUUCUUGUUAAUGUAUCAAGUGGAGUACUUUUAAUGGGUUUUAGUUGUGUUUAUAUCCUUUCAAUUAGUUGUAAGGUAACUUCAAUCCAAAAUACCAACAAUGCACAAUUUAUUUAUUUUUUCGUUCUUGUCUCUAAUUUUGAAUAAACUAUGUUUGUGUGCAUAACCAUGUUCUAUUGGAUUUUUCUUGUGAAAAUCAAGUGAACAAAAAGGAUAAAAUAAAUAAAUAACAGUGAUGAUUUUUCUUACAAUUUUCCGCCUAGUGUUCGAUAAAUUAUAGUGAUAGAUUACCACCUCAAAUUAACACCCUAGCAAGAGAAAAAAUCUCUCGAGUUAGAAAACCAACAUUAUACAUGUUGAGAAUAUAUACCAAGAAAAAAGAGAGUAAAGAACCAAACAAAUGAAUAUUUUUAAUGACAAAUUAAAGCCUUUGUCAAUAAGGCAACAAACAUUCUAUUUUUUAGCAAAAGGUAUAGGAAUUCAAAUGUAUGUCUGUACAAAACCAAAGCCAAUAAACUCCAUUGUAUAGAGCAUUUUCACCUAUGCUAGAUUUAACUAAUUUAUCACAAUAAUACAAGAAGCCUAGCUGCUAGAAAAUUUGAUCAGCUCACCAUAUUUACAAAAGAAUGGAUGAAAUAUCAUUAACAUGUGCUCACUAGAUAAUAAGUGAAAUUACCACCACUCGUGAAUCCAUGCCUGCAUAUAUGUACACAAAAAAUUCUAUUAUAACAUAAAUAUUGUGUUAGGAUAGGAGGAUGCAUUCGACAAUAGUAUGAUUUUAUCGAUCAAUUAUAGCAGAGUAUAUUUGCUUAACAAUUCUGAACAAGAGUAUCAAAAUUAACAACUGAAGCUACAUGGAAGCCAACAUUUUAAAUGCAACUAAAGCUAUGAAUAUAAGUGCGAGUUGUAAACGUUGUUGGUUCCAAAUUAGAUAAAUUCUCAUAAAUUAUGGCAAGACAAGGUUGCUGCAAAGAAAAGUGAUUCACUGUCAACUACCUUACUAACAUAAAGUAAUUCUUUAUUUUCUUCUUCGUUUUUUGUUUUGUAAUAGAAAGGGAAAGUUCUGUGGGGGUGAGGGCAGGGUUGUUAAGGGAACCAAAAUGAAGAUAUCAGAAAAUCUAGUAACCAACACGGCCUCAUGGUCUCAGAAGGAUAAUCUCGAAAAGCUUGAAGAGUAAAACAAGUUGAUAUCUGAAUUUACCUCGAAAAUUUUAAAAUGGCCUUCAACUUGGAACUAUUAAUUUUCUUUGUAACAAACUGAAUGAACGAAAAUGGCUUAUUAUUAAUUUGUUAAAAGAUGUAUUAGAACCAUUGGGAGGACUGUUUUGAGCCAUUAGAACCAGGUAAAAGAAUAAGUUCUGUCACAACAAAUUGUAGGAAAUACGCAUUGUUGAGCUUAUGCUCGAAAUCAAUUAAGGGUACGAAAAGUUUUGUCACUUACAAAGAAAAUGCUUGUGCCAUCUCAAAAGUUUCGUAACUUACAAAGAAAAUGGAAAGCAUUCUUUCUUGCUAUGGUCAGGUCAAUAUGGUCGUGAAAUUCUUCAUAUUUUUUAAUUUAAAAUCGAUGUAUUUGAAAACAAUAUAUUAUACAAAUAGGAUCUAUUUCAAAAAUGAUCACUAAACUUUAAAAGUUGUAACAGUAAAGUCGUAAAAUUUAUUUGCCUUAAACUUACUGCACAUAGGAGUAUGGGGAGUAUAUUUGCUUCUGAUUAAUGUCUAUUAUUCUCCAGGAUACAAAUAUUUGGCCUUCAAAAGCAAACAGUUUCUCUCCAACUACAAACUUUAUUUUCAUCUUAGAUUUUUAUUAUUACUUGUUGUUUCUUUAGCCUUGAUUGCUGUAUUAUCUUGUUGUAUUUUCUGCUUGUUGCUACUUCCUUCUUUUGCAUCUUUCUUUGAGUCAAGAAUCUAUUACAAACAACCUCUCAGGUCUCCGUACACACUAUACUAUCCAUCACUGAAAUUGAGGACUAUAACAACGUGUUUCUUCCGUUCUACUCUCCGAGAGGACAAGAACAACAGUUUCACACUCACCUAUAAGUUCCAGGAAGAUAGAGAAAACAAGUUUAAUCUAGUUGGACUUAAUGAAUCAGUGGUGAAUCUAUGAAGAACAUGCUAUGUAUGGACUCCUGCACUGUCUUCCAUCAGCAGGUCAAUUCUUGUGGAAAAUUGGCUCGAGCUGGUGCACUAUGUAGGCGCUUAUUCAGAGUAGAUUUCCAGUCUAACCUUAAUGCAUUAGCAAAGUGACUCUCCUAUUCUUAAGGUAUAGAGUUGUUAUGUUUCUUUCAAAGUUUACACACCAAGUAAUACUCUUAUCCUAAACAAUUUUGUUGUGUGGUGGUCCUAUUCCUGGAAUCCAGUUAGGUUGGCAAAACAAAGAUAUUUUUUUUGUCUAUAAUAACGUUGCACACAAAAUGCAUGUGUAAUGUGUUAUAUACAAGUGAUGGGACUUUGUGCUUUGACUUAAGAAUGUGAACUAUUGAUAGUUUCCGGCAUUCAAUUGUGUGACACAUUGAAUGGGUAUAUGUGAUUCACAACUUCAAAUUGACUGAAAAUGACUACGUAACCAAUAGUAAAAUUUUCUUUGCUUAAUUUGUGUUAUAUAUACCUCAUCAAAAUUGUUGAAUAGACACACAAAGCAAAACAUUUCUUGAUUUCUUCUCUACCAACUUAAUUAGUUUUGAUCAUUUUUAGUGCAGAAAUGGAUUGUGUAAAACUUGUAUUCUUUAUGCUAUAUACCUUUCUUGGUCAACUUGUUUUCUCCUCAUCCUUACCUCAUUUGUGUCCCGAAGAUCAAGCUCUUGCUCUUCUACAAUUCAAGAACAUGUUUCCCAUUAAUCCUAAUGCUUCUGAUUAUUGUUUUGAAUGGAAAGAGUUUCAUUCAUAUCCGAAAACUCUUACAUGGAAUAGGAGCACAGAUUGUUGCUCAUGGGAUGGAGUACAUUGUGACAAGAUGACGGGACAGGUGAUUGAGCUCAACCUCACUUGCAGCGGACUUCAAGGCAAGUUUCAUUCCAAUUGUAGCCUCUUUCAACUUUCCAAUCUCAAAAGGAUUGAUUUGUCUUUUAAUAAUUUCACUGGAUCACUCAUUUCACCUAAAUUUGGUGACUUCUCCAGUUUAACACAUCUUGAUCUAUCAGUUUCAAGUUUUUCAGGUCAAAUCCCUUCUGAAAUAUCUUAUCUAACCAAUUUAAACGUUCUUCGUAUCACGGCUGUUGAUCCAUAUGGGCUUAGACUUGGGCCUCACAAUUUUGAAUUGCUCCUUAAGAACUUGACCCAAUUAAGAGAGCUCAAACUUGACUCUGUGAACAUCUCCUCCACCAUUCCUCUAAAUUUCUCUUCUUAUUUAACAGUUCUACGGCUUCCAUACACACAGUUACGUGGGGUAUUGCCCGAAAGAGUAUUCCACCUUUCCAACUUAGAAUUCCUUCAUUUAUCAUCCAAUCCCCAGCUCAGUGUUAGGUUUCCCACAACCAAAUGGAAUAGCAGUGCAUCACUCAUGAAGUUAUAUCUCUUAGGGGUGAAUAUUACUAGUAGGAUACCUGAAUCAUUUAGCCAUCUAACUUCACUUCAUGAGUUGGACAUGGGUAAUACUAAUCUGUCAGGGUCCAUUCCUAAACCUCUAUGGAAUCUCACCAACAUAGAGAUUUUGUACCUUGAUACUAACCGUCUUGAAGGAACAAUUUCCCAGUUCUCGAUAUUUGAAAAGCUCAAGACGUUAUCACUUGGAAAUAACAACUUUGAUGGCCGACUUGAGUUCUUAUUCUUUAACAGAAGCUGGAUGCAACUUGAAUGGCUAGAUUUGCCAUCCAAUUCCCUAACUGGUCCAAUUCCAUCCAACGUAAGCGGACAGCGAAAUCUACAAUCACUCUUCUUGUCAUCAAACUACUUGAAUGGGACUAUACCUUCCUGGAUAUUCUCCCUUCCUUCACUAACAAAUUUAGAAUUGAGCAAUAACACUUUCAGCGGAAAAAUUCAGGAGUUCAAGUCCAAAACAUUAUAUUUCGUUACUCUAAAAGAAAAUAAGCUGGAAGGUCCUAUUCCAAAGUCACUCCUAAACCAGCAGAGCCUACGAGUUCUUCUCCUUUCACACAAUAAUAUCAGUGGACAGAUUGAUUCAGCUAUCUGCAAUAUGAAAACAUUGUUGCUACUAGAUUUGAAAAGUAAUAAUUUGGAGGGAACAAUUCCACAAUGUUUGGGUGAGAUGAGUACAGUUCGGAUUUUGGAUUUAAGCAACAAUGGUCUUAGUGGGACAAUUAAUCCAACUUUUACUAUUGAAAACCAAUUCAACAUCAGUAAAUUGAAUGACAAUAAACUACAGGGGAAAGUUCCAUCAUCUUUGAUCAAUUGUGAAAAAUUGGAAUUUCUAGAUUUAAGUAACAAUGAGUUGAAUGACACGUUUCCAAAAUGGUUGGGAGAGCUACCUCAUUUGCAGAUCUUAAAGUUGAGAUCAAAUAAGUUCUAUGGCCCUAUAAGGACUGACAACUUGUUUGCUCAAAUUCGAGUCAUAGAUCUCUCAUCCAACGGAUUUAGUGGAGAUCUACCAGUGAACUUGUUUCAGAAUUUUCAAGCCAUGAAAAAAAAUGGUGAGAACAGUGGAACCCCAAAGUAUGUAGCAGAUAUAUAUUCUUAUUAUUAUAAAAAUUCUUUGAUAGUGACAACGAAGGGACUGGAUCAUGAACUUCCUCGAGUUUUGACUACACAAAUAAUUAUCGAUCUCUCAAGGAAUAGAUUUGAAGGUUGUAUUCCAAACAUUAUUGGAGAUCUCGCUGGACUUCGUACGUUGAACUUAUCUCAUAAUGUCUUGGAAGGUCACAUACCAGAAUCACUGCAACAUUUAUCUGUACUUGAAUCAUUGGAUCUUUCAUCCAACAAAAUAGGCGGUGAAAUAUCACAACAAUUUGUGUCCCUUACGUCACUUGAAGUCUUAAAUCUCUCUCACAAUCAUCUUGUUGGAUGCAUCCCCAAAGGAAACCAAUUUAAUACAUUUGAGAACAAUUCAUACCAAGGAAAUGAUGGAUUACGAGGAUUACCACCCUCAAGAGAUUGUGGCGGUGAUGAUAGGGUACCACAAGCGACAAUUCCAGUUGAGCUAGACCAAGAAGAAGAAGAUUCACCAAUGAUCAGUUGGCACGCAGUUCUCAUGGGUUACGGUUGUGGACUUGUUAUUGGACUAUCUGUAAUAUACAUAAUGUGGUCAACUCAAUAUCCAACAUGGUUUUGGAGGAUGGAUUUAAAAUUGGAACACAAAAUUAGUACGAGAAUGAAAAGGCACAAGAAAAGAUAUUAGUGUGCACUGACCUGCAGGUAUUCAACUUGAUCUUUAUCCUUCAAAAGACUACUUCUUAUAUAUCGAUUUAUUAGUGUGUAAGUUUAAUUCUUUAUUUUUGAAAAUUGCAGGAUUCAAGUCUACUGAUCAGUUGCUGAUGAUGCAGAUAAAAGCCUUUAUCUUUCAUAGUUUGUGAUGUUUCCAUAAAGUGUUUGUUAUCCUAUGAAUAAAGACAUGACUUUUCUUCCUUGAGACUCAAAUCAGAUUAUGUUUUCAUUUGUCUAUGGCUUGUAGAAAUAAAUUCGACUGAUAAACAGAAAUCGGACACAAACUGCUUAAUCUGUGUCUGUAUUUACAUUGACUCCUCUAAAUUCCAAACCUUCCUGGUAUGACAUAUCAUACCACCCCAAAUACCUUCCAGUUCCAAAUAAAUUUUCUAAAUAUCUAGCUAGAUAGAGUUUUGGAUGUGGAAAAUCCACUCGAGCUGGUGCGCUAUGGAGAAGGAGUUGUGUUCAAAGUAGAUUUUCAUCGCUACUCAAGUUUGCAUUAACAAAGUGACAUCCUACUCCUAAAAUACAAUGAAUUCCAUUGCAGCAUAGAGUGAUCCCAUAUCUAUUGGUUGAACUAUUUUGAGGCAUUUGAUGUAGACUUUGUAGGAAAACAAUAACGAAUUAGCUCAAGGAGUACUAAAAGUUCCGUUAAAGAAAAUUCUUAAAAACUACAUGUGACAACUCGUACUAUAAGAGCAUGCAAGUUUGAGUCCUCUUCAAAGCAUAAUAUUAGUGUAACACCCCGUAUUCGAAACAGACCAAAUUGCAGAUUUUUAGAAGUUGCAGGUGCGACUUACGGUCACCAUCCAUGGACCGUAGGUCAGACCACGGCCCGUGCUGGUGGUCCGUGGUUCACCACUGCAACCCUCCCCAAAUCAGCUCAGAAAAAUUGGCUAAGUCCCGACUCACGGACAGACCUACGGUCCGUAGAUCAGACCACGGUCCGUGGUCUGAGUCCGUGGAUCGAGACUUCCCUUACCUAGCCUUUGAAACAAACUACGGUCAACCAGUACGGACCGUCAUUCGAUCCACGGUCCGUAGGUCUGACCGUAGAUGAGGGUCAAGCAACCAGUUAGAUGAAAAUUGUGGUUAAGUCAACUUCAGAUGGUCAUAACUCUUAGCACAAAAUGAAUUAUGUGUCCCAUUACCUAUGGUUAGAUAGAUAAUUGAAUUAUCUCUCCAACGCCACUGAGUUUGCUAAAUUCUGACCUCCGAGUAAAAAGUUAUGCUCGUUUUAGUGAAGCCCUGUCGGGCAGACUCGACUUACGGACCCAAUCGACGGUCCGUCUAUUGAACUACGGCCCGUCAGUCCAGUUCGUCGAUUGGUCCGACAGCAGUUAAUUCAAGGGUCUUUUGGUCUUUUCCUCUUUCGUUUAACCCCUAAGAUACGUCGUUUAAACCCUAAAUCAUAAGGUUUUAGUCAGUUUAAGCCUAGAAACAUAACUAGAACUUACCUAAGUCAAAUCAUUAAUCAAAACUUAGAAAAUUAGAAGCAAGAGAGGAGAAAAAGGUCAAGAACCCUAGUUCAAGAACCCUACAAGGUUCCAUCAGUUCCAGCCUCGAAAUUGAAAGAUUUCUCCGUGGAAUUCGUCACCAGGUAUGUGGGAUUUCACUAGUGGGUUCCUUUCACCCAUUAGGUCCCUAGAAUUCAGUCAGAUUCUUGAUUCCAUGAUUAUGAACAGACCUAGGGUUUCUAGAAUUACAACAGAUCAUCAUGAAUUAGUUAUUUAAAUGUUCCAAAUCAAAUUAUCAUGUUAUUGCUGAGCUUCUCGCAUGAAUUUUAGAACCCUAGCUAUGUAUUUCUUUAGUUCUUGAAUUACACAUGCUAGGUCAAAUAUUUNNNNNNNNNNNNNNNNNNNNNNNNNNNNNNNNNNNNNNNNNNNNNNNNNNNNNNNNNNNNNNNNNNNNNNNNNNNNNNNNNNNNNNNNNNNNNNNNNNNNNNNNNNNNNNNNNNNNNNNNNNNNNNNNNNNNNNNNNNNNNNNNNNNNNNNNNNNNNNNNNNNNNNNNNNNNNNNNNNNNNNNNNNNNNNNNNNNNNNNNNNNNNNNNNNNNNNNNNNNNNNNNNNNNNNNNNNNNNNNNNNNNNNNNNNNNNNNNNNNNNNNNNNNNNNNNNNNNNNNNNNNNNNNNNNNNNNNUUAUUAGUAGCUCCCACAGUUCAGUCAGACUCUAUUGCAUUGACCAUAUUUCAGUACGGUCAGUAUUCAGUCUCAGCAUGUUAUAAAUUUGGUCAUUGCAUCAGUUAGCUCAGUAUUCAGUAUUUUCAGUAUCUAUAUCAUGUUCAGAUUAUUUCAUUGCUUUAUUGCUUUGUUCAGUGAUAUGUUAUUUCAGCUGUAUUCUAUCCUGCAUGUUUAGUACCUUUCAAGUACUGAUGCAUACGUGCGCUAUAUCUUCUCGUGAUGUAGGUUCAGGUUCUCAGCAUCCAGAUCACGCUUAGAUCGAUUCCCGAUCUUCAGUUCAGCUGCACCAGUGGUGAGUCCUCAUUCUUCGUGGACUAGUGACAUGUUUAUCUUUAUCGCUUUUAGUCUUUAGUUUCAGUUUUGAUAGAUCUAGUUGGGGCAUGUUCCAACAUUUCUAGUCAGUUUAGAGGCUUAUUUCAGACAUAGUUAGAUUUAGCUUAGUAUUGAGUUAAUAUUUUCUUUGUAUUAAACUCAUCAAUUUUUCAUAUAUCUCAGAUAUAGUAUAUGGGUAUUCCCCAUCAUUUCAGACUUACUUUAUGAUUUAGCUUCCGCAUCAGUUAUUAUUAUCUUUAGUAUGCUCAUGAUCAUGCCAGCAGGGUUAGCUUGGGAUCACUUGUGGUCCUAGGUCCCGUGUCCGCGUCUUGGGGGUAGUCUCGGGGCGUGACAAUUAGGGCUCAUCAAAUGUGCGUUCUCAACAACAGAGCUCGGAUCAUUAAUUAACAGUAUCAUUUCACUUCACAUCCUAGCACUAUCAUUCUCUGGAAAAACUUAACAGCAACUUCAGAGCACCCGUUCUUCAUGUACCCAUAAAUCAUACGAGUCUAUGAAUAAACAUCUCUAGAAGGCAUGUAAGAAAACAUCAAGAACCCCAAACCCAUUUUUCCCUCAAGCAUUGCAUUAACUAAAUUCAGUAUCAUUAUUAUCAGUUAACUAUCUCCUGGGGCCUAUUCGACUGAUAAACAGAAAUUGGAAACUACUUGAAUCAUUCGAUCAAUUUCCAACUGAGAUAAUAGCAGAAGUCGUAUGCUUAAUUUAUGGGUUGCUCAUGGCUUUGUGUCAUUUAAGUACCUAAAGAAGAAUUUGAGUGUACAUAAGACUAAUUGGUAAGGUUCUACUGGUUUAAAAUAUAAUGUUUAGGGAUCACGUACAACGCGCAAGGACAAGAUCUUAGUAAAACAUGUGAUAAUCUGCUGUCAGGAUAUUGGAAUCACAUUAAAGUUCCUAAAAGACUUAGCUUCCAAUGUCUUUUCUGGUGAAGAGCUAAAGAUUAUUGGAAAUGCUGAUAAGUAAUUGAUUACUUGUCUGUAUAUUUGUCACAUUGUUCCCUGGCCAAAAUUUUAGGAAAUAGAUGCAUUGUUGAGCGUAUGCUCGAAACCAAUUAAGGAUACGAAAAGUUCUGUCACAACAAAUUCUUAAAAGGGUAUAUGCAUAGUACACUUAUCCUAACUAUCAAAACCUUCUUUUUUUUUUUACCUUUUAAGUUAAAGUCUAUACACAAAGUAACACUCUUAUCCUGACUAAUCAAGACUUUAACGGAUUUUCGAUUUGGGACAGUAAGUAAUACCUUAAAAUCACCAGAACUGCAAAUCCAAACAAAUUUACAUGACAAAUUGUGAGAAUAAACCGACAUCAAUUGCAUAAAAUUUUGGACGAGAAAAACUCUUAAAAAUGGUGUAAUAUCAUUGGCUUUGGGUAAAACUUGCACAGUUUCCUCUUAAAUGUUCACUUUAUACAUAUCUUCUUUUUAUCUUACCAACUUCUAAUGCAAGACUUUUUUCAUACACCCAACCGACAUAAGAGAGCCAAAACAACUUUUGUAUGUGUUGUGUGUGGAGAGUUGUUAAGAGAGACACGUUGAAUGUGAAUAUGUAAUUGACAACUCUAAAAUUGACUGAACAUGACAAGGUGACCUUCCUGAAAUUGAUUACUCCAAAGCAACAACUAAAUGUACAUAGUAAAUUUCUUUUCUUAGUUUGUGCUAUAUAUACCUCAUCAAACUUACUGAAUAUAGACACACAACAAACAUUUCUUGAUUUCUUCUCUACCAACUUAAUUAGUUUUGAUCAUUUUAGAGCAAAAAUGGGUUAUGUAAAACUUUUAUUUUUUAUGCUAUAUACCGUUCUUUGUCAACUUGCUUUCUCGUCAUCCUUGUGCCCCAAAGAUCAAGCUCUUUCUCUUCUACAAUUCAAGCACAUGUUUACCAUUAAUCUUGAUGCUUCUUAUGAUUGUGAGUUUUCUCAUCCAAAAACUCGUUCAUGGAACAAGAGCAUGGAUUGUUGCUCAUGGAAUGGAGUUCAUUGUGACAAGACAACAGGACAAGUGAUUGAGCUUGAUCUCCGUUGCAGCGAACUUCAAGGCAAGUUUCAUUCCAAUAGUAGCCUCUUUCAACUCUUCAAUCUCAAAAGGCUUGAUUUGUCGUAUAAUGAUUUCACUGGAUCACUCAUUUCACCUAAAUUUGGUGAGUUUUCAAGUUUGACGCAUCUUGAUUUGUCGCAUUCAAGAUUUACAGGUCUAAUCCCUUCUGAAAUAUCUCACCUUUCUAAAUUACACGUUCUUUUUAUAUGGAACCCCUCGGGUGGUUUAUAUGACCUUAGUCUUAGUCUUGGGCCUCACAAUUUUGAACUUCUCCAUCAGAACUUGACCCAAUUAAGAGAGCUUGACCUUUAUGGUGUGAACAUCUCUUCCACCAUUCCUUCAAUUUUUUCUUCUCAUUUAACAACUCUAGCACUUUCAGACACACAUUUAUGUGGGAUAUUGCCCGAAAGUGUUUUCCACCUUUCCAACUUAAAAACUCUCGAUUUGUCAUACAAUCACAAGCUCACAGUUAGGUUUCCCAUAACCAAAUGGAAUAGCAGCGCAUCACUCAUGUACUUAAAUCUCUAUGAUGUGAAUAUUACUGGUAGGAUACCUGAAUCAUUUAGCCAUCUAAUUGCACUUCAUGACUUGGACAUGGUUAGUCUAAUCUGUCAGGGCCUAUUCCUAAACCUCUAUGCAAUCUAACCCACAUAGAGAGUUUGUCCCUUAAUGAUAACCAUCUUGAAGGACCAUUGAGCCUUUUUCAGAAUUUUCAAGCAAUGAAAACAAUUGGUGAGAACAGUGGAACCCGAGAGUAUGUAGCAGAUAAAUUUUCUUUUUUUUACACUAAUUCUAUGAUAGUGACAACAAAGGGACUGGAUCAUGAACUUCCUAGAGUUUUGACUACACAAAUAAUUAUCGAUCUCUCAAGGAAUAGAUUUGAAGGUCAUAUUCCAAACAUUAUUGGAGAUCUCGUUGGACUUCGUACCUUGAACUUAUCCCAUAAUGUCUUGGAAGGUCAUAUACCAGCAUCAUUGCAAAAUUUAUCAGUACUCAAAUCAUUGGAUCUCUCAUCUAACAAAAUCAGCGGAGAAAUUCCGCAGCAGCUUGCAUCCCUCACAUUUCUUGCAGUCUUGAAUCUCUCUCACAAUCAUCUUGUUGGAUGCAUCCCUAAAGGAAAACAAUUUGAUACGUUUGAGAACAGUUCAUACCAAGGAAAUGUUGGAUUAUGAGGAUUGCCACCCUCAAGAGAUUGUGGCCGUGAUGAUAGGGUACCACAAGCGACAAUUCCAGUUGAGCUAGAUCAAGAAGAAGAAGAAGAUUCACCAAUGAUCAAUUGGCAGGCGGUUCUCAUGGGUUACGGUUGUGGACUUAUUAUUGGAUUGUCCGUAUAAUAUGUAAUGUCUUCAACUCAAUAUCCAAAAUGGUUUUCGAGGAUGGUUGUAAAAUUGGAAGACAAACUUAUUACAAGAAUGAAAAAGUAGAGGAAAAGAUAUUAGUGUAUAGUUACCUCCAGGUAUUCAACUUGAUCAUUGUCCUUCAGAAGAUUAUUUUUUAUAUAUCGAUGAAAUUAUCGACCUCCUUCAUCCUCAAAGCUCUUAACUUUAACUCUUCAUUUUUGUAAAUUUCAGGAUUCAAGAGUUCCGAGUUCCGAGUUGCUGGGGAUGCAGAUAAAGCCUUUUUAUCGUUCAUAGUUUGUAAUGUUUCCAUGAAGUGUUUCUUAUCCUAUGAAUAAAUAUUUUGUUUUCAUUUGUCUAUGGCAUGCAGCUAUGUUCCAUCACUAAAAACAUUGUAUUUCUCUCAACUCUUUUGUCACAUGAUAUCAUAACACAAACAAAGAACACUUGAAUCAAAACCUGGAAGAAACAUCAGGAAACCAUGAAUCAAAGUUGCAGUAGUCUACUAUAUUAACUUUUUUCGUUGAAGCACAACCGACAUAUCAUGAGAAAGAGACUGUGAUCUCAGAAAUGAGAAUUUACCAAUCCACAACCCUGCAGUAUCUACUGGAACUUUUUUCUGUCGCUUCUUCUUGCCCCAAUCUCAGGAACAUUUCAUUCUUGACUGGUCCUUGAUGCAAUAAAUUAAAUCGUGAGUGGAAUUUGUUAAUCUAGUAGCUAAUUAAUGCUCGAAGAAGAUGAAUGCUAAUUCAGGGACUUAGCCGAGAAUUAUAGCUGAAAGAGAAAUGUAGAAGAAGAAGAGAUUGAUCUUAUUUCAUGAAUGAAUAACAUUUUGCAAUCAUAGACAGAGGAAUGAAACUAAUGGCCUAACGAACACUCUGUGAAUAGUGAACAGUACUAACCCAUACCGUGAAGUCUCCAGGAUACAAAUAUUUGGCCUUCGAAAGCAAACUUUUUCUCUCUAAAUACAAGCUUUAUUUUCAUAGUUUCUGAUGUUUCAUCUUACAUUUUUUUAUUACUACCUGUUGUUUCUUUAGCCUCGAUUACUGUAUUAUCUUGUUGUUUUUUCUGCUUGUUGCUACUAUGCCUUCUUUUACAUCGAAAAUAACCUCUCUAACUUCAAGGUAGUGGUAAGGUCUGCGUACACAGUAUACUCCCAAGACAGCCAGGCCCCACUGUCUUCCAUCAGCAGCUCAAUUCUUGUUUCUGUCAAGUUGUAUGGUGUGUGUUAAGAGAGCAAAGCAAAGAUACUUUUUGUGACAUUCAAACAAAAUGCAUGUGUUAUUACAAGUGGUGGGACUUUGUGUUUGAAUCUUUCUAUGCUAUCUUAUUUAUCUUCCCUUCCAUCACUCGUAAACAUACAUUUCAAAGGGAUCAAAAUUGAAUCAAAUUAUUCUACAUGCCUAAAUUCCUUUAUUAUUGUGUUAUCAAAUAACUACAUCAACUCUAAAAUACUCAUAUAUAUGAGUAGUAAUUUUCAUUUGAAGAGUACUUUUAUGGAACUAUUUAGUUGUGUAAAUUUUAUUUCAAGAUAAGCAAAAGAAGUCGAUAUGUGAAUUUACUCCGAAAAUUUUAAGAAGUGACCUUCAUUUUAAAUUUUCUUUGGAACGAAAAAAUGGAUGGAUGGACCUAAGAUCGUGCUGAAAGACGGAGUCGAUGGACAACAUGUAAAUAUCAUAACUUUUACUAUUUUAAUUAACAUUUGAAUUGAGCUUGAUUUUCAUUGGAACAAACUCUAAUUCUUUUGAUAAAAAUUAAAUUUGCUAACAAAUACAAUGACGAAUGCUUUAACAUGUGUAUCCUAAGGAGGAGAGAAAGCAAAGUAAAAAAAUUAUUCUUGUUUUUUUGUUUUGUAAUAGAAAGUGAACCAAAACAAAGACCUUUUAUGUGACCUCUUCGUCUAUAAUAAGCACAUGUGAUUGUCAACUUCAAAUUGACAGAAAAUGACUACUUAACCAAUAGAGAUUUUUUUUUGCUUAAUUUGUGCUAUAUAUACGUCAUCAAAAUUGUUGAAUAGACACAAAAGCAAACAUUUCCUGAUUUCUUCACUGCCAACUUAAUUAGUUUUUGACCAUUUUAGUGAAGAAAUGGGUUGUGUAAAAGUUGUGUUUUUUAUGCUAUAUCCCUUUCUCUGUCAACUUGCUUUCUCCUCAUCCUCACCUCAUUUGUGCCCCCGAAGAUCAAGCUCUUGCUCUUCUACAAUUCAAGAACAUGUUUACCGUGAGACCUACUUCUUAUGGUUGUUACGACUAUACAGACCAAAGGAUGAAGUCAUAUCCAAGAACUCUUUUCUGGAACAAGAGCACCGAUUGCUGCUCAUGGGAUGGAGUUCAUUGUGACGAGACAACAUGACAAGUGAUUGAGCUUGAUCUCCGUUGCAGCCAACUUCAAGGCAAGUUUCGUUCCAAUAGUAGCCUCUUUCAACUCUUCAAUCACAAAAGGCUUGAUUUGUCUUAUAACGAUUUCUUUGAAUCGCUCAUUUCACCUAAAUUUGGUGAGUUCUCUAGAUUGACGCAUCUUGAUUUGUCGAGUUCACGUUUUACAGGUCUAAUCCCUUGUGAAAUCUCUCAUCUUUCUAAAUUAUACGUUCUUCGUAUAUGGACUGUAUUUCCAUAUGGCCUUAGACUUGGGCCUCACAAUUUUGAACUACUCCUUAAGAACUUGACUCAAUUAAGAGAUCUCGACCUUUACUCUGUGAACAUCUCUUCCACUAUUCCUCUGAAUUUCUCUUCUUAUUUAACAAAUUUACAGCUUCAACACACACAAUUUCGUGGGGUAUUUCCCGAAAGAGUUUUCCACCUUUCCGAUUUAGAAUUCCUUGAUUUAUCUCACAAUCCCCAGCUCACAGUUAGGUUUCCCACAACCAAAUGGAAUAGCAGUGCAUCACUCAUGUACUUAAAUCUCUAUGAUGUGAAUAUUAAUGGUAGGAUACCUGAAUCAUUUAGCCAUCUAACUUCACUUCAUAUGUUGAACAUGGGUAAUACUAAUCUGUCAGGGCCCCUUCCUAAACCUCUAUGGAAUCUCACCAACAUAGAGAGUUUGUUCCUUGGUAGUAACCAUCUUGAAGGACUAAUUUCCCUGUUAUCGAGAUUUGAAAAGCUCAAGGAAUUAUUACUUGGAAAUAACAAUUUUGAUGGCCGACUUGAGUUCUUAUCCUUUAACAGAAGCUGGAUGCAACUCGAUACCUUAGAUUUUUCGUCCAAUUACCUAACUGGUCCAAUUCCAUCCAACGUAAGUGGACUGCGAAACCUAAAACAGCUCUUCUUGUCAUCAAGCUACUUGAAUGGGACUAUACCUUCCUGGAUAUUCUCCCUUCCUUCACUGAUAGCGUUAGACUUAAGCAAUAACACUUUCAGUGGAACAGUUCAAGUCCAAAACAUUAAAUGUCGUUACUCUAAAUCAAAAUAAGCUGGAAGGUCCUAUUCCAAAGUCACUCCUAAACCAGCAGUUCCUACUAGGUCUUCUCUUUUCACACAAUAACAUCAGUGGACGUAUUGCUUCAGCUAUCUGCAAUCUGAAAACAUUGCAAGUAUUAGAUUUGAGAAGUAAAAUUUUGGAGGGAACAAUCCCACAAUGUUUGGGUGAGAUGAGUGCAGUUGAGAUUUUGGAUUUGAGCAACAAUAGUCUUAGUGGGACAAUUAAUACAACUUUUAGUAUUCGAAACCGACUCAACAUCAUUAAAUUGCAUAGUAAUAAGCUAGAGGGGAAAGUUUCACAAUCUUUGAUCAAUUGUAAAUAUUUAGAACUUCUUGAUUUAGGUAACAAUGAGUUGAAUGACACGUUUCCAAAAUGGUUGGGAGAGCUACCUCAUUUGCAGAUCUUAAAGUUGAGAUCAAAUAAGUUCUAUGGCCCUAUAAGGAUUGACAACUUGUUUGCUCAAAUUCGAGUCAUAGAUCUCUCAUCCAAUGGAUUUAGUGGAGAUUUACCAUUGAGUCUUUUUCAGAAUUUUCAAGCCAUGAAAACAAAUGGUGAGAACAAUGGAACCCGAGAGUAUGUAGCAGAUACAUUUUUUUUUUACUUACACUAAUUCUAUGAUAGUGACAACAAAGGGACUGGAUCAUGAACUUCCUGGAGUUUUGACUACACAAAUAAUUAUCAAUUUCUCAAUGAAUAGAUUUGAAGGUCAUAUUCCAAGCAUUAUUGGAGAUCUCGUUGGACUUCGUACCUUGAACUUAUCUCAUAAUGUCUUGGAAGGUCAUAUACCAGCAUCAUUGCAAAAUUUAACUGUACUCGAAUCGUUGGAUCUCUCAUCUAACAAUAUCAGUGGAGAAAUUCUGCUGCAGCUUGCAUCCCUCACAUUUCUUGCAGUCUUAAAUCUCUCUCACAAUUAUCUUGUUGGAUGCAUCCCCAAAGGAAAACAAUUUGAUACGUUUGAGAACAGUUCAUACCAAGGAAAUGAUGGAUUACGAGGAUUGCCACCCUCAAGAGAUUGUGGUCGUGAUGAUAGGGUACCACAAGAGACAAUUCCAGUUGAGCUAGAUCAAGAAGAAGAAGAAGAAGAUUCACCAAUGAUCAAUUGGCAGGCGGUUCUUAUGGGUUAUGGUUGUGGACUUGUUAUUGGACUGUCUGUAAUAUACGUAAUGUGGUCAACUCAAUAUCCAGCAUGGUUUUCGAGGAUGGAUUUAAAAUUGGAACACAGAAUUACUACGAGAAUGAAAAAGUACAAGAAAAGAUAUUAGUGAGUAGCGACCCCCAGGUAUUCAACUUGAUCUUUAUCUUUCUUAAGAUCAUUUUAUAUGUCAAUGUGUUUUCAACCUCCUUCAUCGUCAGAGCUCUUACCUUAAUUCUUUAUUUUUGAAAAUUGCAGGAUUCAAGUCUACUGAGUUGUGGGGGAUGCAGAUAAAAGUCUUUAUUUUUCAUAGUUUGUGGUGUCUCCAUAAAGUAUUUGUUAUACUAUGAAUAAAGACAUGACUUUUCUUCCUUUGAGACUCAACCAGAUUUUGUUUUCAAAUGUCUAUGGCAUAUAGAAAUAAACGGAAAUCGGACACAAACUUGAAUCUUUAAAUCAUUCAAUCAGAGUAUUUCACUCAACUCUUUCACAUAACACAAAUAUAGAACACUCGAAUUUAAGUUCAGAAACAUAAAAAUCUGUAGUUACAGAUUUCAGAAAUAUUCUUUUACAGACACAUGAUGGUCCUUUAUCAAAAGAUCGAAGGAACAUCAGGAAACCAUGGACCAAAGUUGCAGUCUGCUAUCUUUAACUUUUUUCAUUGAAGCAGUAGCAAUUAACAUAUAAUCUAGAUUCUAUUCAACCUCCUUUAUGAUAUUAGUAAGAUAAAUGAAACAGUGCUAAAUCAAGAAAUGAAGAAAGCUGUAAAGUAUUCCGCUGCUGCUUAUUAGAAUAGGCUCAGACUCUUUUGAGACAUUAGAUGGUGAACUGAUCAAAUGGACGAAAAAGGCCUAUUAUUGUGUUAAAAGGUGUAUUAGAAUAAUCUCAUAUCCAUUGGGAGGACUGUUUUGAGCCAUUAGAACCAGGUAAAAGAAUAAGUUCUGUCACAACAAAUUCUAGGAAAUAGACGCAUUAUUGAGCUUAUGCUCGAAAUCAAUUAAGGGUACGAAAAGUUCUGUCACAACAAAUUCUUAAAAGGGUAUAAUAUGCAUACACUUAUCCUAUCAAAACCUUCUUGCUUUUUUUUUUUUUUUACCUUUAAAGUUAAAGUCUAUACACAAAGUAACACUCUUAUCUUCUUUUUUUCUUAAUGCAAGACUUUGUUCAUACACCCAACCAAUUAUCAAACUACUUGAUUCAGAACAAUACAUGCCAUCCUGGAUAUCCUCCGUUCCAUCACUAAACUUUGAGGACUAUAACAAUGUGUUUCUUCCGUUCUACUCUCCGAGAAGACAAGAACAGCAGUCUCACUCUCACACUCACCUAUAAGUUCCAGGAAGAUACAAAAAAAUGUUUAAUCAGUGGUAUUGAAACUAUGAAGAACAUGCCAUGUAUGGACUUCUGCACUGUCUUCCAUCAGCAGGUCAAUUCUUGUGGAAAAUUGGCUCGAGCUGGUGCACUAUGUAGGCGCUGUAUUCAGAGUAGAUUUCCAGUCUAACCUUAAUGCAUUAGCAAAGUGACACUCCUAUUCUUAAGGUAUAAAGUUGUUAUGUUUCUUUCAAAGUUUACACACUCCUAUCCUAAACAAUUUUGUUGUGUGGUGGUCCUAUUCCUGGAAUCCAAUUAAGUUGGCAAAACAAAGAUAUUUUUUUGUCGAUAAUAACGUUGCACACAAAAUGCAUGUGUAAUGUGUUAUAUACAAGUGGUGGGACUUUGUGAUUUGACUUAAGAAUGUGAACUAUUGAUAGUUUCCGGCAUUCACUUGUGUGACACAUUGAAUGGGCAUAUGUGAUUCACAACUUCAAAUUGACUGAAAAUGACUACGUAACCAAUAGUAAAAUUCUCUUUGCUUAAUUUGUGUUAUAUAUACCUCAUCAAAAUUGUUGAAUAAACACACAAAGCAAAAUAUUUCUUGAUUUCUUCUCUACCAACUUAAUUUAGUUUUGAUCAUUUUUUAGUGCAGAAAUGGAUUGUGUAAAACUUGUAUUGUUUAUGCUAUAUACCUUUCUCGGUCAACUUAUUUUCUCCUUAUCCUUACCUCAUUUGUGCCCCGAAGAUCAAGCUCUUGCUCUUCUACAAUUCAAGAACAUGUUUCCCAUUAAUCCUAAUGCUUCUGAUUAUUGUUUUAAAUUUAAAGAGUUUCAUUCAUAUCCGAAAACUCUUACAUGGAAUAGUAGCACAGAUUGUUGCUCAUGGGAUGGAGUACAUUGUGACAAGAUGACGGGACAGGUGAUUGAGCUCAACCUCACUUGCAGCGGACUUCAAGGCAAGUUUCAUUCCAAAUUGUAGCCUCUUUCAACUUUCCAAUCUCAAAAGGAUUGAUUUGUCUUUUAAUAAUUUCACUGGAUCGCUCAUUUCACCUAAAUUUGGUGACUUCUCCAGUUUAACACAUCUUGAUCUAACAGUUACAAGUUUUUCGGGUCAAAUCCCUUCUGAAAUAUCUCAUCUUUCAAAAUUACACGAUCUUCGUAUCUCUAAUGUUUAUCCAUAUGAGCUUAGAUUCGGACCUCACAAUUUUGAAUUGCUCCUUAAGAACUUGACCCAAUUAAGAGAGCUCCACCUUCACGAUGUGAACAUCUCUUCCACCAUUCCUCUGAAUAUCUCUUCUUAUUUAACAAAUCUACGGCUUCCAUUAACAGAGUUACGUGGGGUAUUUCCCGAAAGAGUUCUCCACCUUUCCGAUUUAGAAUUCCUUGAUUUAUCAGAAAAUCCCCAGCUCACUGUUAGGUUUCCCACAACCAAAUGGAAUAGCAGUGCAUCACUCAUGUACUUAAAUCUCUAUGAUGUGAAUAUUAAUGGUAGGAUACCUGAAUCAUUUAGCCAUCUAACUGCACUUCAUGACUUGAACAUGGGUUAUUCUACUCUGUCAGGGCCUAUUCCUAAACCUCUAUGGAAUCUCACCAACAUAGAGAGUUUGUUCCUUAGUGAUAACUAUCUUGAAGGACCGAUUUCCCAGUUCUCGAGAUUUGGAAAGCUUAGGGUGUUAUACCUUGGAUAUAACAACUUCGAUGGCUGACUUGAGUUCUUAUCCUUUAACAGAAACUGGACGCAACUUGAAGUAUUAGAGUUUUCAUUCAAUAACCUAACUGGUCCAAUUCCAACUAAUGUAAGAGGACUACAAAACCUACAAUGGCUCAAAUUGUCAUCAAACCACUUGAAUGGGACUAUACCUUCCUGGAUAUUCUCCCUUCCUUCACAGACAGUGUUAAACUUGAGAAAUAACCCUUUCAGUGGAAAAAUUCAGGAGUUCAAGUCCAACACAUUGUUGGAAGUUGAUCUAAGACAAAAUCAACUAGAAGGUCCUUUACCAAAUUCACUCCUAAAACAGCCAAACCUAAAAUUUCUUCUCCUUUCACACAAUAAUAUUAGUGGACAGAUUGCUUCAACUAUCUGCAAUCUGAAAACACUAACAGCUUUGGACUUAGGAAGUAACAAUUUGGAGGGAACAAUCCCACAAUGUUUGGUUGAGAUGAAUGAAUACCUUUGGAAUUUGGAUUUGAGCAACAACAGUCUUAGUGGGACUAUCAAUACAAAUUUUAGUGUUGGAAACGAUCUCACGAUCAUUAGCUUGCAUGGGAAUAAGCUAACGGGGAAAGUCCCACGAUCUUUGAUCAAUUGCAAGUACUUGACACUUCUUGAUCUAGGUAACAAUCAGUUGAAUGACACAUUUCCAAACUGGUUGGGACACCUACCUGAUUUGAAGAUUUUAAGCUUGAGAUCAAAUAAGUUUCAUGGUCCCAUUAAAUCUUCAGGGAAUACAAACUUGUUUGCGCGGCUUCAAAUUCUGGAUCUAUCAUCCAAUGGAUUUAGUGGUAAUUUACCAAUAAGUCUUUUUGGGAAUUUGCAAGCCAUGAAGAAAUUGAUGAGCGUACAAGAACCCCAGAGUAUGUUUCUGAUCAAUAUGCUGGUUAUUAUGAUUAUUUGAUGACAAUUACAACAAAGGGGCAAGAGUAUGAUUGUGUUCAAAUUUUGGAUUCUAACAUGAUUAUCGAUCUCUCAAAGAACCGAUUUGAAGGUCAUAUUCCAAGCAUUAUUGGAGAUCUCGUUGAACUUCGUACCUUGAACUUAUCUCAUAAUGUCUUGGAAGGUCAUAUACCAGCAUCAUUGCAAAAUUUAUCUGUACUCGAAUCAUUGGAUCUCUCAUCUAACAAAAUCAGCGGAGGAAUUCCACCACAACUUGCAUCCCUCACGUUUCUUGCAGUCUUAAAUCUCUCUCACAAUCAUCUUGUUGGAUGCAUCCCCAAAGGAAAACAAUUUGAUACGUUUGAGAAUAGCUCAUACCAAGGGAAUGAUGGGUUAUGUGGACUGCCAUUCUCAAAACAUUGUGGUGGUGAUGGUAGGGUACCACAAGCGACAAUUCCAGCUGAGCAAGAUCAAGAAGAAGAAGAAGAUUCACCAAUGAUCAGUUGGCAGGCGGUUCUCAUGGGUUACGGUUGUGGUCUAGUUAUUGGACUGUCUAUAAUAUACAUAAUGUUGUCAACUCAAUAUCCAACAUGGUUUUCGAGGAUGGUAUUGAAAUUGGAACACAGAAUGAUUACGAGAAUGAAAAGGCACAAGAAAAGAUAUUAGUGAGUAGCGACCUCCAGGUAUAUAACUUGAUCUAUUUUAUUUUAUUUCUAUUUUUUUUUACCCUCCGUAGGAGCUCCCACCCCUUUUGCUCCCUUGGUGACUCGAACUCGCAACCUUCGGGUUGGAAGUGAGAGGUGCUUACCAUCCGAGCAACUCCCUCUCGUCAUUCAACUUGAUCAUUAUCCUUCAGAAGAUUAUUUUUUAUAUAUCGAUGUAAUUUCUACCUACUUCAUCCUUUAAGCUCUUAACUUUAAUUCUUCAUUUUUGAAAAUUGCAGGAUUCAAGUCUACUGAAUUGCUGGGAUGCAAUAAGACGAGUUUUUGUUUACCAAUAGUCUGUUAUAUAGUAUGUAGUAAUUUAUUCAGCCUGAUUAUUAGUUAGCUACUUCAUUUCGACUGCAAUGUUCAGUUCAUAAAUUUAUGAAGUUAUCUUAUCUUUUUGUUUUAAUUACAUCAAUAAUUUCAAUAGCAAGCUAAACGUGUACACCUUUUAAGACUCUCCUAAAAAUUGGCUUAAAUAUCCUUAUGGUGUUAAAGAUUGCUCUAAAGUCACCACUCCUUGUUAGUCGAAAAUCACACUUGUCUAAUUUCAAAUGUUUAUAUGUAAAAAGAAUCGAAGAUAUGCCUUUUUUUCUCAACUUUGAUCUGUAGAGGUAUUGAUCUUGUCGCCUCUGCUCUCUGUGCGUUCCUAUUUCUUAAUAAAUCUCUGUGACAUUAGAUACAGGCCUUGUACACCAUACCUUGUAGGAAGACAAUAACGGAUUAGUUCAAGGAGUACUAAAAGUUCUGUUAAAGAAAAUGCUUAAAAACUACAUAUGACAUCUUGUAUUAUAAAGAGAAUGCAAGCUUGAGUCUACUUCAAAUGAUCAUAAUAUAUCGGAUACUCAUUAAAUGAGCAUUCUCAAUAACAGAGCUUGGAUCAAAUCUAUAUUAUGUGCACAGAAUUAUGAAGCAUGAAUACUAGUUCACCUCAACUUUUUCCUUUUCUUUUUGCUAAGAAAAGGCAUUUUGUUGGGUUAUACACAUUUACAAGGGUGAAAAAGAUGCCACAAUUUACACCAUCCUGUAUCAAACAGUCCAGAAUCGAGACGAAGAUAACUAGCUUUAUAAAAAAUUAUUGAUAAAAAUUAUUGAUCUAGGAAAAAGAUGCAUUCUUGAGCUUAUGCUCGAAACUAAUUAAGGGAUAAUUCUCAAAGGAGUACGAAAAGUUCUGUUAUAGGAAGUUUCGUUCAUAACGUUCAAGAAUUUGAAUUACUCUGUGGGAGUAUCAAUUUGGAGGGAACAAUCCCACAAUGCCUGGGUGAGAUGAAUGAAUACCUUUGGAAUUUGGAUUUGAGCAACAACAGUCUUAGUGGGACAAUCAAUAUAAAUUUUAGUAUUGGAAACUCUUUCAGGGUCAUUAGCUUGCACGGGAAUAAGCUAACAGGGAAAGUCCCACCAUCUUUGAUCAAUUGCAAGUAUUUGACACUUCUUGAUCUAGGUAACAAUAAGUUGAAUGACACAUUUCCAAACUGGUUGGGAAACCUACCUGAUUUGCAGAUUUUAAGCUUGAGAUCAAAUAAGUUUCACGGUCCCAUUAAAUCUUCAGGGAAUACAAACUUGUUUGCGCAGCUUCAAAUUCUGGAUCUAUCAUCCAAUGGAUUUAGUGGUAAUUUACCAAUAAGUCUUUCUGGGAAUUUGCAAGCCAUGAAGAAAAUUGACGAGAGUACAAGAACCCCAGAGUAUGUUUCUGAUCAAUUUGCUGGUUAUUAUGAUUAUUUGAUGACAAUUACAACAAAGGGACAAGAUUAUGAUUGUGUUCAAAUUUUGGAUCCUAACAUGAUUAUCGAUCUCUCAAAGAACAGAUUUGAAGGUCUUAUUCCAAGCAUUAUUGGAGAUCUUGUUGGACUUUGUACCUUGAACUUAUCUCAUAAUGUCUUGGAAGGUCAUAUACCAGCUUCAUUGCAAAAUUUAUCAGUACUCGAAUCAUUGGAUCUCUCAUCUAACAAAAUCAGCGGAGAAAUUCCACAACAGCUUGCAUCCCUCACAUUCCUUGCAGUUUUAAAUCUCUCUCACAAUCAUCUUGUUGGAUGCAUCCCCAAAGGAAACCAAUUUGAUACGUUUGAGAACAGUUCGUACCAAGGGAAUGAUGGAUUAUGAGGAUUGCCACCCUCAAGAGACUGUGGCCGUGAUGAUAGGGUACCACAAGAGACAAUUCUAGUUGAGCUAGAUCAAGAAGAAGUAGAUGAUUCACCAAUGAUCAGUUGGCAGAAGGUUCUCAUGGGUUACGGUUGUGGUCUAGUUAUUGGAUUGUCUGUAAUAUACAUAAUGUGGUCAACUCAAUAUCCAGCAUGGUUUUCGAGGAUGGAUUUAAAAUUGGAACACAAAAUUACUACGAGAAUGAAAAGGCACAAAAAAAAGAUAUUAGUGUGUAGCGACCUUCAGGUAUUCAACUUGAUCUUUAUCUUUCUUAAGAUUAUUUUUUAUAUAUCAAUGUAUUUUCGACCUCCUUCAUCCUCAAAGCUCUUACCUUUAAUUCUUCAUUUUUGAAAAUUGCAGGAUUCAUGUCUACAAAGUUUCUGAAGAUUAAGAUAAAAAGCCUCUAUCUUUCAUUUGUCUAUGGCAUGUAGAAAUAAAUUCGACUGAUAAAUAGAAGUCGGACAUAAAGUUGAAUCUUUGGAUCAAUCAGAUGAUAUGUGUCAUCACUAAAAACGUAGUAUUUCACUCAACUCUUUCACAUAACAUCAUAACACAAACAUAGAACACUCGAAUUUAAGUUCAAAAACAUAAAAAUCUGAAGUUACCGAGUUCGGAAUAUUUUUUUUCAGAUUCAUGAUGGUCCUUCAUCAAAAGAUCAAAGAAACAUUACCAGGGACCAAAGUUACAGUUUUCUAUCUUUAACUCUUUUCAUUGAAGCAGCAGCAAAAAGAUUUGCAUUAUUCUCUACUCCCUGAGCCUCACAUAGACAACAUCACGUGUUUUCAACUGGAAUCUGCAUUCUUUGAAGAGUUGGAGAAAGAGCCUUCAACUCUUCCCAUCUAAGUCUCUGAUGACAGAGUUACCCGAUAUCUCUAUUGGUGGAAGGUAGACGGUACCGGUUGAAUUAAUCGAAUAGACUCAAGUUGACCUGAGCAUCACUGUUAUACAACAACAAACUAUGCCUCAGCCCCAAACAAAAACUUGCAUAGAGACCUGCAAUAAUGUUCGAAGCCCAAAAUAAGAUAGACAUAAACACACAAUUGAGUGAUAUAAUUUCUAGUGAUCGAAAUCCAUAUGGAUUUCAAACAUCAUUUAGGAAGAAAUCAAGCAGAAGCGCUUGACUAUAGGUGAGGUUUAUCGUGAUCAACUAUUGUUCAGAUUCAUUAAUUAGCAAACUGCUCCACAAUUUCAAAGUUUCGGGGCAAAGAAAAAGAUUCAUAAAAACAAAAGGGAAUACCUCGCCAAACAGACUUAGGAACCAGGUUUGUCAAGAUAUCACUGCAGCUUUCUUUACGCUGUGCUUUAAUCUCUGUGCAAAAUCCAUAUGCAGGAUCCUUUUAACUGAUUUUGAUGAGUCGAGAUUUCACAAAAAUGUAUCUGUCAAACUAUGACUUAGCUGAUGCGGCAGUUAUCAGCUCCACUAAAUAUACUUGUGGGCUGAAACCUUGUGUAUUCCAGCAUCUAACAUUGCUUUUCUCAAGGCAGCAGCAUAAUCCCACCUCUCUGCGCCAGCACAAAUGAUUCGGUUGCGACUCAAGCAGUAGUUGUGAUACUUCAUAUCCCAAUUCAAUAGCUCCAUGAAGUCUACAAGCACCCAUCAGAGCCCCCAAGACAGUAAAGGCAUCAGCUUCAAACAAGAUAAUGUUCCAUCUUAGCUACAAGUCAAAAUUCAUGAGACAUCGCUUCAAACAAUUUAAAACUGAAAUCGACAAGCUUGGCAUACACACAAUUAAGCUGAUAGAACAGACACAAAAGUAAUCUCAUUUGGUUGCAGCCCCUUUGCCCUCAUCUUCUCAUACAUCGUUAAUGCCUACUUCUCUCUUCUAAGAAAAGGGUUGUAGAUUAUUUGUGAUACAUUAAUUUCUAUUCGACCUCCUUUAUGAUGCAAAUAACAUUAAUGAAAGGCAUAAAACAGUACUAAAUUAAGACAGGGAGAUUUGAUAUAUAGUUUAGAGAAUAUUUGGGCCUCUUGAAGUGUAACAGCCCAAAGCACAAAACAUUGAAGACCCAAACCAGCAAAACAAAAGAAAAUCAGAAUCAGACAUAAAGUUGAAUCUUUAGAUCAUUCAAUCAGACGAUAUGUGCCAUCACUAAAAACAUUGUAUUUCACUCAACUCUUACACAUAACACAAACAUACAACACUCGACUUUAAGUUCAGGAACAUAAAAAUCUGUAGUUACAGAGUUUGAAGAUAUUUUUCUACCGACUCAUGAUGGUCCUUCAUCAAAAAAUGGAAGAAACAUCAGGAAAACACAGAAAAUCUAGUAUCCAACACGGCUUCAGAAGGAGAAUCUUCUGUUACUAUCAUCAAUGAAUUCAGUAUUACAAACUUCAGGCCUUAAGAACUGAAAUACAGGUGCUCGGAAAAUUGAUUUAGGCUGUAUAUGGAUGAUAUACAGCGGAAAGGGACGACAUAGGGUUCAUAUACAGUAGUAAUAUACGCUUGGUAUAUAUUCAGGUUUUCAAGGGUAAAAAUAGGGCCAAUGCCCAAACACAACCUGCAGCAGGCCCAAGAAGGGCCCAAAUUCAAUUUCUCCUUCACUCUUAACCUAUUUAACUGUGAUUAUUUACUGUUAGCUUUUUAUUAACUCUAACUUUAAAUAACUUAAUUAAAUACCCAAAAGAUGAACUAUAUUAUUUCUGUUAGUUUAUUUUAAUAUAAUUCAUUUUUUAUCAACUUUCAUACUUUUAUUGAAUAUAUUUAGUCAAAACUUUUUAUUUAUUCUUCAAUUAAUUUAAAAUCGUUUUCAUACUUUUAGUUAAUCAAAUCGGUUUAAAUUAUUAUUUUAAAAUGAUUCAAAUAAAUUUUAAUUAAUCUAGUUUUGUUAAAAUACUAAUCACUUGUAAUUAAAUUCAAAUAUUUUAAUUAAGGUCCCCCUUUCUAAAAAAAAUCAAAAAUUGUUCUUUGUUUAACUAUUUUUUUCAAGUUAAUAUUAAAAGUCAUUUUCAUAAUCACUUCCCAAAAAAUAGUCAAAAAAAUAUUUUAACCAAGUUGUAGGAUAACCGCGUGUUAGCGGAUGCUUCAAAUGCCUUAAAAACCUUCUUGAAGCGUAAAUAAGAACCUCUUACCCAUUUUCUCUAAAUUUUUAAAGACUUAAUCUGUUAGAGUCUUUUUAAAUUAUAAGUUUUUUUGUAAUUUCUCUAAAAAAUAAAGUAGCGACUCUUUUCUAAGUAUUUUUCUCAAAUUGUCUUAUACUUAAAGCAUUUCAAAAGUAAUUUUUCUAAAGAUAGUCAAAUUACAAUAUAUAUAACAUUUAGAUCAUUCGAUCAGAUGAUAUUUGUCAUCACUAAAAACAUUGUAUUCACUCAACUCGUUCACAUGACAUCAUAAUAAAAACAUAGAGCACUCGACUUUAUGUUCAGAAACAUAAAUUUGUAGUUACAGAGUUCGAAAAUAUUUUUUACAGACUCAUCGAAAGAUCAAAGAAACAUCAGGAAACCAUGGACCAAAGUUGAAGUCUUCUAUCUUUAACUAUUUUCAUUGUAGCUUAUAUCAUAAAAAAAUUAACUCAAAGGAGAUUUGGACUCAACUUCAACUUCCUGUGUAUAAUAUUUCAAGAAUAGUAAAACAAGUUGAUAUCUAAAUUUACUUUGAAAUGGCCUUCAUACUUGGAACUAUUAAUUACUGCAGAACUUUAAUCACUCAUUAAUGUAUAAAACAUGUACCCUAUUGAGUUUUCUUAUUGGGAGAAACGGUAGUCUAUCAAUUAGUAAUGACUUUCCAAUUUUUUGGUAGUUUAUCAAUAAAUUAGUAAUGACUUUCCUACAUAAAUUAAAUGAAUACAUGGAUUCUUUAUUACCACAAAUUUUUUAAAAUAACAGUUUUUUUUUUUAAAGUAAGGAAAAAAUGGUCAAUUAAUUUUGUACAGGUAUUUCGUAAUCCAACUUGGCACUUUGAAGCUUCACAAUUUUAAUUGAGCUUUAUAUUUUCAUUGGAACGAACUUUAAUUCUUUAACAUGUGUAUCUUGAGGAGAAGAGAAAGGGAAAGUUCUGAGUGGGGUUAAGGGAACCAAAACAAAUACCUUUUAUGUGACAUUUUUGUCUAUAUAUAAUAAUGUAUCAGACAAAAUGCAUUUGUUAUAUACAAGCGGUGGGACUUUGUUACGUUGUUGCUUUCAUUUGAACAUAUUGAAUGUGCAUAUGUGAUUGUCAACUUCAAAUUGACUGAAAAUGCUUAAUUUAUGCUAAUCUCUAUCUCAUCAAAAUUAUUGAAUACACACACAGAGCAAAUAUCUUCUCUACCAACUUAAUUAGUUUUGAUCAUUUUUAGUGCGGAAAUGGGUUAUGUAAAACUUGUAUUUUUUAUGUUAUAUACCUUUCUCUGUCAACUUGGUAUCUCCUCAUCCUUACCUCAUUUAUGCCCCGAAGAUCAAGCUCUUGCUCUUCUACAAUUUAAGCACAUGUUUACCAUUAAUCCUAAUGCUUCUAAUUUUUGUCGUGAAAUAAUAACAGAUCAAGAGAUUCAGUCAUAUCCAAAAACCCUUUUAUGGAACAAGAGCACAGAUUGUUGCUCAUGGGACGGAGUUCAUUGUGACGAGAUGACGGGACAAGUAAUUGAGCUUGAUCUCAGUUACAGCACACUUCAAGGCAAGUUUCAUUCCAAUAGUAGCCUCUUUCAAUUAUCCAAUCUCAAAAGGCUUGAUUUGUCAUGUAAUAAUUUCACCGGAUCGCUCAUUUCACCUAAAUUUGGUGAGUUCUCUAGCUUGACGCAUCUUGAUUUGUCAGGUACAGGUUUUACAGGUCUAAUGCCAACAGAAAUCUCUCACCUUUCUAAAUUACACGUUCUUCGAUUCAGUGGUCUAUAUGACCUUAGUCUUGGGCGUCACAAUUUUGAACUGCUCCUUAAAAACUUGACCCAAUUAAGAGAGCUCAACCUUGACUAUGUAAACAUCUCUUCCACAAUUCCUCAGAAUUUCUCUUCUUAUUUAAAAAAUCUACGGCUUCCAUACACAGAUUUAUGUGGGGUAUUGCCCAAAAGAGUUUUCCACCUUUCCGAUUUAGAAUUCCUUGAUUUAUCAUCCAAUUCUCAGCUCACUGUUAGGCUUCCCACAACCAAAUGGAAUAGCACUGCAUCACUCAUGUACUUACGUCUCUAUGACGUGAAUAUUACUGAUAGGAUACCUGAAUCAUUUAGCCAUCUAACUUCAUUGCUUGUAUUGGACAUGAGUGAUUGUAAUCUGUCAGGGUCUAUUACUAAACCUCUAUGGAAUCUCACCAACAUAGAGUUGUUGGACCUUGGUAAUAACCAUCUUAAAGGAUCAAUUUCCCGGUUAUCGAGAUUUGGAAAGCUCAAGGACUUAUCACUUAGAAAUAACAACUUUGAUGGCCAACUUGAGUUCUUAUCCUGUAACAGAAGUUGGACCCAACUUAAAUGGCUAGAUUUUACAUCCAAUUUCCUAACUGGUCCAAUUCCAUCCAACGUAAGUGGACUACAAAAUCUACAAUCACUCUACUUGUCAUCAAACAACUUGAAUGGGACUAUACCUUCCUGGAUAUUCUCCCUUCCUUCACUGUCAGAGUUAGAGUUGAACAAUAACACUUUCAGUGGAAAAAUUCAGGAGUUCAAGUCCAAAACAUUGUCUCAAGUUGAUCUAAAACAAAAUCAACUAGAAGGUCCUUUACCAAAUUCACUCCUAAACCAGCCACUCCUAACAUAUCUUCUCCUUUCACACAAUAAUAUCAGUGGACAGAUUGCUUCAACUAUCUGCAAUCUGAAAGAAUUGACUGUGCUAAAUUUGAGAAAUAAUAAUUUGGAGGGAACAAUCCCACAAUGCCUGGGUGAGAUGAAUGAAUACCUUUGGAAUUUGGAUUUGAGCAACAACAGUCUUAGUGGGACAAUCAAUAUAAAUUUUAGUAUUGGAAACUCUUUCAGGGUCAUUAGCUUGCACGGGAAUAAGCUAACAGGGAAAGUCCCACCAUCUUUGAUCAAUUGCAAGUAUUUGACACUUCUUGAUAUAGGUAACAAUCAGUUGAAUGACACAUUUCCAAACUGUUGGAAACCUACCUGAUUUGCAGAUUUUAAGCUUGAGAUCAAAUAAGUUUCACGGCCCCAUUAAAUCUUCAGGGAAUACAAACUUGUUUGCGCAGCUUCAAAUUCUGGAUCUAUCAUCCAAUGGAUUUAGUGGUAAUUUACCAAUUAGUCUUUUUGGGAAUUUGCAAGCCAUGAAGAAAAUUGACGAGAGUACAAGAACCCCAGAGUAUGUUUCUGAUCAAUUUGCUGGUUAUUAUGAAUAUUUGACCACAAUUACAACAAAGGGACAGGAUUAUGAUUCUGUUCGAAUUUUGGAUUCUAACAUGAUUAUCAAUCUCUCAAAGAACAGAUUUGAAGGUCAUAUUCCUAACAUUAUUGGAGAUCUCGUUGGACUUCGUACCUUGAACUUAUCUCAUAAUGUCUUGGAAGGUCAUAUACCAGCAUCAUUGCAAAAUUUAUCUGUACUCGAAUCAUUGGAUUUCUCAUCUAACAAAAUCAGCGGAGGAAUUCCACCACAACUUGCAUCCCUCACAUUUCUUGCAGUCUUAAAUCUCUCUCACAAUCAUCUUGUUGGAUGCAUCCCCAAAGGAAAACAAUUUGAUACGUUUGAGAACACUUCCUACCAAGGGAAUGAUGGGUUACGUGGAUUGCCACUCUCAAAACACUGUGGCGGUGAUGAUAGGGUACCACAAGCAAUAACUCCAUCAGAGCUAGAUCAAGAAGAAGAAGAAGAUUCACCAAUGAUCAGUUGGCAAGCGGUUCUCAUGGGUUACGGUUGUGGACUUGUUAUUGGACUGUCCGUAAUAUACAUAAUGUUGUCAACUCAAUAUCCAACAUGGUUUUCGAGGUUGGUUGUGCAAUUGGAACACAGAAUUACUACGAGAAUGAAAAGGCACGAGAAAAGAUAUUAGUGAGUAGCUACCUUCAAGUAUUCAACUUGAUCUUUAUCUUUCUUGAAGUCAUUUUUUAUAUAUCAAUGUAUUUUCGACCUCCUUCAUCCUCAAAGCUCUUACAUUUAAUUCUUCAUUUUUGAAAAUUGCAGGAUAAAGUUUCUGAAGAUGCAGAUAAAAAGCCUUUAUCUUUCAUAGUUUGUGAUGUUUCCAUAAAGUAUUUGUUAUCCUAUGAAUAAAAACAUGACUUUCCCUUCCUUUGAGACUACAUACCAUAAAGUCUAUGGCAUGUAGAUAUAAAUUCGACUGAUAAACAGAAACCGGACAUAAACUUAAAUCUUUAGAUCAUUUAAUCAGAUGAUAAUACGUGUCAUCACUAAAAACAUAGUAUUUCACUCAACUCUUUCACAUGACAUCAUAACACAAACAUAGAACACUCUACUUUAAGUUCGGAAACAUAAAAAUCUGAAGUUACAGAGUUUGAAAAUAUAUUUUUUCCGAUUCAUGAUGGUCCUUCAUCAAAGGAUCAAAGAAACAUUAGGAAAAAUAUUUGCAUUAUUCUCUACUGCCUGAGCCUCACAUAGACAACAUCAUGUGUUUUCAACUCGAAUCUACAUUCUUUGAAGAGCUGAAGAAAGAACCUUCAACUCUUCCCAUCUAAAUCUUGGAUGAUAGAGUUACCCGAUAUCUCUAUUGGUGGAAGGUAGACGGUACCAGUUGAAUUAAUUGAAUAGAACACAAGUUGACCCAAGCAUCACUGUUAUACAAUAACAAACUACGCCUCAGCCCCAAAAAAUAACUUGCAUAGAGACCUGCAAUAAUGUUCAAACCCCAAAAUAAGAUAGACAUAAACAUAUAACUGAGUGAUAGAAUUUCUAGUGAUCGAAAUCCAUAAGGAAUUCAAACUUCAUUUAGGAAGAAAUCAAGCAGAAGCGCUUGCCUAUAGGUGAGCUUUAUUGUGAUCAACUAUUGUUCAGAUUCAUUAAUUAGCAAACCGCUGCAUAAUUUUGAAGUUUCGGGGCAAACAAACUUUGGAACCAGAUCUGUCAAGCUAUGACUUAGUUGAUUUUGAUGAGUCGAGAUUCCAUCACCAAGAUGCGGCAGUUAUCAGCUCCACUAAAUAAAACUGUGGGCUGGAACCUUGUGUGUAUUCCAGCAUCUAACAUUGCUUUUCUCAAGGCAUCAGCAUGAUCCCACCUCUCUGCACCAGCAUAAAUGCUUGAGAGUUGCAUAUAACACCCUGAAUGCUUGAGAGUUAUGCUACUUCAAUAGCUCCAUGAAGUCUACAAGCACCCAUCAGAUCCCCCAAGACAGUAGCAUCAGCUUCAAAAGGCAUCUUCUUUAGUCUUCCUGCAGUUUCCCAGCUCUCCCUAAGAGAUCAACCACACAACCAUAAGUUGAAUCUUUAGAUCAUUCAAUCAGGUGAUAUGUGCCAUCACUAAAAACAUUGUGUUUCACUCAACUCUUUCACAUAACACAAACAUACAACACUCGACUUUAAGUUCAGGAACAUAAAAAUCUGUAGUUACAGAGUUCGAAGAUAUCAUUAAUGCGUGCUUCUCCCUUCCAUUCAAGCUGGGGAAGAAAUCAUAACACGACCAUCGCAUCAAUUACCUUUGAAGCAUAUAUCAAACAACCCAUAAAAUGAGAUCAAUGCGGUCGUCAGAAGUUGAAGCAUAUGUUCUGUAACAGCCCAAAGCACAAAACAAAAGAAAAUCAGAAUAAGAAUCAGAAAUAAAGUUGAAUCUGAAUCGUUAGAUCAUUCAAUCAGACGAUAUGUGCCAUCACUAAAACCAUUGUAUUUCACUCAACACGUUCACAUAACACAAACAUAGAACACUCGACUUUAAGUUCAGGAACAUAAAAAUCUGUAGUUACAGAGUUUGAAGAUAUUUUUCUACAGACUCAUGAUUGUCUAUAAUAAGGUAUCACACAAAAUGCAUGUAUUUUUACAAAGUGAUUGUGUUAUCAAAUAACUACAUGAACUCUAAAUACUCAUACAUAAGUAGUGAUUAUCAUUUAAAGAGCACUUUCAUGGAACUUUUUAAUUGUGCAAAUUUUAUUUCAGGAGAAGUUAAAAAAAGAAAAGGCGAAUUUGUGAAUUUACUCCGAAAAUUUUAAAAAGUGACCUUCAUUUUUUAAUUUUCUUUUGUACAAAAAUGGACUAAUGGACCUGAGAUCAUGCUGAAAGUAUAACUUUACAUUUUAAUAAACAUUUGACAGAAAGCAAAGUAGAAACUUUCUUCUCUUCUUUUGUUUUGUAAUAGAAAGGCAAAGUUAUGGGUGGGAGUGGGGGCAGGGUUGUUAAAGGAGUAAGAAAAGUUCUGUCACAGCAACCAACACUAUAUUAUCCUAACCAGUCAAUAUCUUUUUAGAAUUUUGACUUGAAAUGUCUUUUCUCAAAGUAUAUACGUCAAUUAUUACUUUAUUCUUAAUCAAACUUUUUGAAUUUCAGCAGAACUGAUUAUAUCAAUGCAAUAAUUGAAGGUGAGGGGUUCCAAACAAGUACUGCUGCAACAUAAGGUUGAUGUAAUUUAUUUUGAACUCACCAAAGUUGAGGAAAAUAAGGUUUCUUGAAGGAGUAGCAUUGAGAAUGUGAAACUUUGUUCAUACACCCAACCGACAUAACAACUUUCUGAUUUAUUCAAUCAUGGUUAUCAAAUGCAGCUCAUACCUAUAGAUUAUCUCCAAAAUAGCUUUCUACUUCAUCACAUCCAGUUCCAAAAUUGUGAAAAUCUGAAUCUGGAAAAGCAGGUUACUGAUCUAUUAUUUUGUUCACUUACAGUAUUAGCCAAUCGUGGAUUUAUCAAAAUAGUACUUUUACUUGUCCCAAUUUUUAAUAAAAAGAAGAAGAGAAAGGUGUGUGUAAAGAGAAUCAAAACAAAGAACUUUUUUGUGAACUAUUGAAUGAAAAUGACCUGGAAUUGAUUACUCCAAAGCAACAACUAAACUUCUUUGCUUAGUUUGUGCUAUAUAUAUCUCAUCAAACUUACUAUAGACACAGAGCAAGCAUUUCUUGAUUUCUUCUCUAUCAACUUAAUUAGUUUUGAUCAUUUUAGUGCAGAAAUGGGUUGUGUAAAACUUGUAUUUUUUAUGCUAUAUACCUUUCUAUGUCAACUUGCUUUCUCCUCAUCCUUACCUCAUUUGUGCCCCAAAGAUCAAGCUCUUUCUCUUCUACAAUUCAAGCACAUAUUUACCAUUAAUCCUAAUGCUUCUGAAUAUUGUUACGACAUAACAGACCAAGAGAUUCAGUCAUAUCCACGAACUCUUUUAUGGAACAAGAGCACAGAUUGUUGCUCAUGGGAUGGAGUUCAUUGUGACGAGACGACAGGACAAGUGAUUGAGCUUGAUCUCCGUUGCAGCCAACUUCAAGGCAAGUUUCAUUACAACAGUAGCCUCUUUCAACUCUUCAAUCUCAAAAGGCUUGAUUUGUCUUGCAAUAAUUUCUCCGGAUCGCUCAUUUCACCUAAAUUUGGUGAGUUCUCUAACUUGAGGCAUCUUGAUUUGUCGCGUUCAAAUUUUACAGGUCUAAUCCCAGUUGAAAUCUCGCACCUUUCUAAACUACACGUUCUUCGUAUAGGUGAUCAAUAUGAGCUUAGUCUUGGACCUCACAAUUUUGAACUGCUCCUUAAGAACUUGACCCAAUUAAGAGAGCUCAAUCUUCACUAUGUGGACAUCUCUUCCACUAUUCCUUCAAAUUUCUCUUCUCAUUUAACAACUCUACAACUUGCAGACACACAGAUACGUGGGAUACUUCCCGAAAGAGUUUUCCACCUUUCCAACUUAGAAUCCCUCGAUUUAUCAGAAAAUCCCCAGCUCACUAUUAGGUUUCCCACUACCAAAUGGAAUAGCAGUGCAUCACUCAUGGAGUUACAUCUCAGUCAUGUGAAUUUUACUGGUAGGAUACCUGAAUCUUUUAGCCAUCUAACUUCACUGCAUAAGUUGUACCUUGAUAAUAACCAUCUUGAAUGACCGAUUUCUCAGUUCUUGAGAUUUGAAAAGCUCAGGUACUUAUCACUUAGAAAUAACAACUUUGAUGGCCAACUUGAGUGUUUAUCCUUUAACAGAAGCUGGACGCAAUUUGUAAUGUUAGAUUUUCGGUCCAAUUCCCUAACUGGUCCAAUUCCAUCCAACGUAAGUGGACAGCAAAACCUAAAAUGGCUUAUCUUGUCAUCAAACCACUUGAAUGGGACUAUACCUUUCUGGAUAUUCUCCCUUCCUUCACUGAUAAUGUUAAACUUGAGCAAUAACAUUUUCAGUGGAAAAAUUCAGGAGUUCAAUUCCAAAACAUUAGCUGUCGUUAUUCUGAGAAAAAAUCAGCUGGAAGGUCCUAUUGCUUCAGCUAUCUGUAAUCUGAAAACAUUGUUUCUACUAGAUUUGAGAAGCAAUAAUUUGGAGGGAACAAUCCCACAAUGUUUGGGUGAGAUGAGUGCAGUUGAGAUUUUGGAUUUAAGCAACAAUAGUCUUAGUGGGACAAUCAAUACAACUUUUAGUAUUGGAAACUAUCUCAGAGUCAUUAGCUUGCAUGAGAAUAAGCUAGAGGGGAAAGUCCCACGAUCUUUGAUCAAUUGUAAAAAUUUGGAACUUGUUAAUUUAGGUAACAAUCAGUUGAAUGAUACAUUUCCAAGAUGGAUGGGAAUCCUACCGAGUUUGAUGAUUUUAAAUUUGAGAUCAAAUAAGUUGCACGGGCCCAUUAAAACUUCAAGGACUGGAAACUUGUUUGCGCAGCUUCAAAUUAUGGAUCUAUCAUCCAAUGGAUUUAGUGGCAAUUUACCUGAAAGUCUUUUUGUGAAUUUGCAAGCCAUGAAGAAAAUUGAUGAGAACAUGAUAGGGAAAGAGGUUUUUGAUUAUGAUGAUUCUUUAACAAUUACAAUAAAGGGAUUGGAUCUUACUUUUGCUAGAGUUUUGUGGAGAAAUAACAUAGUUAUAGAUCUCUCAAGAAAUAGAUUUGAAGGUCCUAUUCCAAACAUUAUAGGACAUCUCAUUGGACUUCGUGUGUUAAACUUAUCUCAUAAUGUCUUGGAAGGUCAUAUACCAGCAUCAUUGCAAAAUCUAUCUGUACUCGAAUCAUUGGAUCUCUCAUCUAACAAAAUCAACGGAGAAAUUCCGCAGCAACUUGCAUCCCUCACAUUUCUUGAAGUCUUAAAUCUCUCUCACAAUCAUCUUGUUGGAUGCAUUCCCAAAGGAAAACAAUUUGAUACGUUUGAGAAUAGUUCAUACCAAGGGAAUGGUGGGUUACGUGGAUUGCCACUCUCAAAACAUUGUGGUGGUGAUGGUAGGGUACCACAAGCAACAAUUCCAGUUGAGCUAGAUCAAGAAGAAGAAGAUUCACCAAUGAUCAGUUGGCAGGCAGUUCUCAUGGGUUACGCUUGUGGUCUAGUUAUUGGACUAUCUGUAAUAUACAUAAUGUUGUCAACUCAAUAUCCAGCAUGGUUUUCGAGGAUGGAUUUAAAAUUGGAACACGGAAUUACUACGAGAAUGAAAAAACACAAGAAAAGAUAUUAGUGUGUAGCGACCUCCAGGUAUUCAACUUGAUCUUUAUCCUUCAAAAGAUUACUUCUUAUAUAUCGAUGUAUUUUCCACCUCCUUCAUCCUUAAAGCUCUUAACUUUAAUUCUUUAUUUUUGAAAAAUGCAGGAUUCAAGUCUACUUAGUUGCUGGGAAUGUAGAUAAAAGCCUUCAUCUUUCAUAGUUUGUGAUGUUUCCAUGAAGUGUUUGUUAUCUUAUGAAUAAAGAUAUCACUUUUCUUACUUUGAGACUCAACCAAAUUUUGUUUUCAUUUGUCUAUGGCAUGUAGAAACAAAUUCGACAGAAACAGAAAUCGAACACAAACUUGAAUCUUCAUAUCAUUCAAUCGGACGAUAUAUGUCAUCACUAAAAACAUUGUAUUUCACUCAACUCUGUCACAUGACAUCAUAACAAAAACAUAGAGCAGUCGACUUCAUGUUCAGAAACAUAAGUCUCAGAUGACAGAGUUCCCCGAUAUCUCUAUUGGUGGAAGGUAGACGGUACUGGUUGAAUUAAUUGAAUAGAACACAAGUUGACCUGAGCAUCUCUGUUAUACAACAACAAACUACGCCUCAGACCCAAACAAUAACUUGCAUAGAGAUCUGCAAUACUGUUCAAAGCCCAAAAUAAGAUGGACAUAAACACACAAUUGAUUGAUAGAAUUUCUAGUGAUCGAAAUCCAUAUGGAUCUCAAACUUCAUUUGGGAAGAAAUCGAGCAAAAGCUCUUGACUAUAGGUGAGGUUUAUCGUGAUCAACUAUUGUUCAGAUUCAUUAAUUAAUCAGCAAACCGCUCCAUAAUUUCAAAGUUUCGGGGGAAACAGACUUUGGAACCAGAUCUGUCAAGCUAUGACUUAGUUGAUUUUGAUGAGUCGAGAUUCCAUCACCAAGAUGCGGAGUUAUCAGCUCCGCUAAAUAAAACUGUGGGGUGGAACCUUGUGUAUUCCAGCAUCUAACAUUGCUUUUCUCAAGGCAGCAGCAUAAUCCCACCUCUCUGCGCCAGCAUAAAUGAUUCCGUUGUGACUCAAGCAAUAGUUGUGCUACUUCAUUUUCCAAUUCAAUAGCUCCAUGAAGUCUACAAGCACCCAUCAGUGAACCUUUUAAUUGUGUAAAUUUUAUUUCAUGAGAAGUAAAAGAAAAAAAAAAAGGUGAUAUGUGAAUUUACUCUGAAAAUUUUAAAAAGUGACCAUUUUUUUAAUUUUCUUUGGUACGAAAAUGGACUAAUGGACCUGAGAUCAUGCUGAAAGUAUAACUUUACAUUUUAAUAAACAUUUGACAGAAAGCAAAGUAGAAAUUUUCUUCUCUUCUUUUGUUUUGUAAUAGAAAGGCAAAGUUGUGGGUGGGAGUGGGGGCAGGGUUGUUAAAGGAGUAAGAAAAGUUCUGUCACAGCAACCAACACUAUAUUAUCGUAACCAGUCAAUAUCUUUUUAGAAUUUUGACUUGAAAUGUCUUUUCUCAAAGUAUAUACGUCAAUUAUUACUUUAUUCUUAAUCAAACUUUUUGAAUUUUCAGUAGAACUGAUUAUAUCAAUGCAAUAAUUGAAGGUGAGGGGUUCCAAACAAGUACUGCUGCAACAAGUUAGAAACUGGUGAUGUAAUUUGUGUUGAAGGAGUAGCAUUGAGAAUAAGAGUAUCACUUCACUUUAUACAUAGUCUUUUUCUUACCAACUUCUAAUGCGAGACUUUGUUCAUACACCCAACCGACAUAACAACUUUCUACUUUAUUCCGUCGCGGUUAUCAAAUGCAGCUUAUACCUGCAGAUUAUCUCCAAAACAGCUUUCUACCUCAUCACAUCCAGUUCUAAAAUUGUGAAAAUCUGAAUCUGGAAAAGUAAUUAACAAACAUUGAACAGGUUACUGAUCUAUUAUUUUGUUCACUUACAGUAUUAGCCAAUCAUGGAUUUAUCCAAAUAAUACUUUUAAUUGUCCCAAUUUUUAAUAAAAAGAAGAAGAGAAAGUUGUGUGUGUGGAGGGUUGUAAAGAGAAUCAAAACAAAGAACUUUUUUGUGAACUAUUGAAUGAAAUGACCUUCUUGAAUUGAUUACUCCAAAGCAACAACUAAACUUCUUUGCUUAGUUUGUGCUAUAUAUAUCUUAUCAAACUUACUAUAGACACAGAGCAAACAUUCUUGAUUUCUUCUCUAUCAACUUAAUUAGUUUUGAUCAUUUUAGUGCAGAAAUGGGUUGUGUAAAACUUGUAUUUUUUAUGCUAUAUACCUUUCUAUGUCAACUCGCUUUCUCCUCAUCCUUACCUCAUUUGUGCCCCAAAGAUCAAGCUCUUUCUCUUCUACAAUUCAAGCACAUAUUUACCAUUAAUCCUAAUGCUUCUGAAUAUUGUUACAGCAUAACAGACCAAAGGAUUCAGUCAUAUCCACGAACUCUUUUAUGGAACAAGAGCACAGAUUGUUGCUCAUGGAAUGGAGUUCAUUGUGACGAGACAACAGGACUGGUGAUUGAGAUUGAUCUCCGUUGCAGCUAACUUCAAGGCAAGUUUCAUUCCAACAGCAGCCUCUUUCACCUCUCCAAUCUCAAAAGGCUUGAUUUGUCUUAUAAUAAUUUCUCUGGAUCGCUCAUUUCACCUAAUUUUGGUGAGUUCUCUAGCUUGACGCAUCUUGAUUUGUCAGGUUCAAGAUUUACAGGUCUAAUCCCAACAGAAAUCUCUCACCUUUCUAAAUUACACGUUCUUCGUAUGGGUGAUCAAAAUGGGCUUAGUUUUGGGCCUCACAAUUUUGAACUACUCCUUAAGAACUUGACCCAAUUAAGAGAGCUCAAUCUUGACUUUCUGAACAUCUCUUCGAGCAUUCCUCUGAAUUUCUCUUCUUAUUUAAAAACUCUAAGGCUUCUAGACACACAGUUACGUGGGGUAUUGCCCGAAAGAGUUUUCCACCUUUCCAACUUAGAAUCUCUCGAUU
rnacentral:lncRNA from 1 species